UAAAGAAUAUUUUCUUCUCUGAUUAAACUAUUUCUUGAGUUCUUAUAAUAGUGGUCUCAUACAAUAUUUGACCUUUUGCAGCUGACUAAUUUCACUCAGCAUAAUGCCUUCCAGAUUCCUCCAUGUUACGAAAUGUUUCACGGAUUCGUCAUUGUUCUUUAUCAAUGUGUAGUAUUCCGUUGUUUGAAUAUACCAUAAUUUAUUUAUCCAUUCAUCCAUCGAUGGGCACCUUGGUUGCUUCCAUCUUUUUGCUGUUGUAAACAGUGCUGCAGUGAACAUGGGUGUGCGUAUAUCUGUUCGUGUAAAGGCUCUUAUUUCCCUAGGGUAUAUUCUAAGGAGUGGGAUACCUGUAGCAGCAAGUUUACGUGAUUGAUUAUUCUUAUAAUAGCUGUGAAUUGUAUAAGAGCUUCAUAUUUAACUUUUAAUAUUUAAUUUAAACUAGUUUUGAAGCAUUUGAUCUAAAAUAAAAUUAAAAUUCUUUCGUCAGUGUUGUAGAGGAGACUCACGAAUCAGAACCACCCCAUGUUUUUUUAAGCAAGCAUCUGUGAGUUGAAGGAUUAAGUAAAGAGCAUGCCAUAUAAAUGUGAUCAUAAAUUAUUGCCUGUGGCUACUACUGUGACCUGGGUAAGGAACACUCUAAAAUUUAAUCCCACUUUCUGCCCCCAGUCUCCCCACCCCCUGUUCUGAUUUUUUUAAUUUGUUAUUUAUAAUAUGAUGUGAAUGGAAACCAAAUAACCACGGUCUUAGGAAUAUGUCUAAAAUGACAAGGACUUUGUUUGAGGACCAGAAGGAAUGUAAGGAUAUGGCCUGUGACACAUUUUUUUGAUAUUGAAAACCUUUUUGAUUGCUGUGUUUCUCUUCUGUGCUUAACUUUAUAGUUACUAUUUCGAAUCUUCUUAGAAUUUGGGCUAUAGAGCAUUAUAAAUGUUGUUUAAAGUACCAUUUUUUCACAUUGGCAGGUGGCAACGUAUAGAUGUUGCCCCAGGGUGGUGCAAAAGAUGGUUAAGGGCUUGACUGCUAGCUGAAAGGUUGGUGGUUCAAACCCACCCAAAGGAGCCUUGGAAGACAAGCCUGGCGAUCUACUUCCAAAAGGUCACAGCCUUCAAAACCCCGUGGAGCAGUUAGACUCUGCACACAUGGGGCAGCCAUGAGUUGGAAUUGACUCAAUGGCUACUGACUAUCUACCAAAUCUGUUGCCUUCAAGUUGAUUCCAACUCGUAGCGACCCUCCCUAUAGGACAGGGUAGAAGUGGCCGAUACGGUUCCCAAGGAGCCGCUGGCUGGUGGAUUUGACCUGCUGACUUUUUGGUUAGCAGCGGAGCUCUUAACCACUGUGCCAUCAGGGCUCCAGGGUUUCGAUAGAUGGUUAACAUUUUGCUGUUUGAUCAAGUCUGUGCCACUAGAAACUUGUUAUCCCAGAUAAUCAGAACUUUCUUCACUUUCCUGAAUGGAAAACCUAGAACUGAGCUGAGAGUGUAAUUGAAUACACACCAGGGGGUCUAACAUUUGAUUCUACUUCUUUCGAUUGUAAGUUGUUAAUGUCAUUCUCUGAAUAUGAGUGAAAAGGUUUUCUACCAAGAAUAUGAAACUAACGUUUUACUAAGCUAAAUUUUAAUGAAAUUAUUUGGAUUUAUUUAUAGUCAGUAUUACCAUUUUCAGUUCAUGCAUUAAUAUUAAUUACAGUUACUGGUAAGAAAGUACAGAAAUGGUGUUCAGUAUGAUAACCACCUUGUCACUGCAGAAAUACGGACAUUUGGUAUUUUAAAUAUCAUGUCUUAAGUUGAAAAAAUUAUCACAGAGAAUCUAUGCACUAUCUCCUCUUUCUCUUAUAAAAUUGAGCCUAGAGACCUUGUACUAUUUUAAAUUUUCAGAUUCAUGUCAUGUAAAUGUUGCAUUGGGCUUCCAGUUCAUGCCUGUUAUCCUCACAAGUAGUGACGAUAAGGGUGUAUUUACGGCCUACCAGUUGUUUAGCUGUGGACUAGAGGUGAAUAGAGGACAAUAAUGGUAUUUUCAAAUUUUGUUAAGCCAUUUUUCUUGAUCUCUUAUAUACAGCUAUGAUUACCCCUCUCCCCCCCUUUUUUUGGUAACUAAUAUUGGAACAUAUGGUCUGAUAAUUGUGGGUUCAUUUGGGGAGGGUAAGAUAGAAUACUUCAAAUCAGUACUGACCUGGAAAAGCAUUGAUCUCAGUACUUGUGGACUAGGAAAGAAAGAGGCUAAAAAACAGACAUUAGAAGCAAAUGAAUGGUAAGGCGAAUAGAUUGGCAUCAAAACUCAGAGAUGCGCUGUGAAGAUAUUGAGAAGAAUUCCUCGUUUAAUAUAGCAGGAGCUCAAGUUGAAAGCUAUCCACCUAGGAUGUGAUUUAAAUAUCCUGGUCGUAGCUGGGUUUUGAGGAAACCCUGGUGGCAUAGUGGUUAAGUGCUACGGCUGCUAACCAAAAGGUUGGCAGUUCGAAUCCUCCAGGCGCUCCUUGGAAACUCUAUGGGGCAAUACUACCCUGUCCUAUAGGGUCGUUAUGAGUCGGAAUCGACUCAAGGGCAUUGGGUUUGGUUUUUUGGGAGCUGGGCUUUGAACACUUUAUUUACUUUGAGGAAGUUGUUUGACCCUUCUCAAAGAUGCCAUCAAUUUCAGAGUAAUGUAAAUACAUUUUCCCUUUGGCUAUUUUACAAGGACAUUGAGGAUUAAUUAAAUAUAAAAGAAAGUAGUGCAUGGAGGUCCCUGGGGACCAGGAACUGUUUAUCAUUUAUCUCAUCAUUCAUUUCUUACUUACUCAUUUUACAAAUAUUUGUUGAAUACCAAUUAUAAUGAAGACUCUAUGCCAGGUGCCCUAAUUGGGAGUACAAAAAUGAAUGAUGAGGGUGGCUUCUGCUCUCAUUAUAUUGUGUGUUCAUAUUUUAUUUAAAAAAAUUCCCUUUAUGAGUGUGCCCAACCUGUUGCAAUUGAGUUGAUUCUGACUUGCAGUGACCCUGUAGGACAGAGCAGAACUGCCCCAUGGGGUUACGGCUGAUACGGCUGCCAACCAAAAGGUUGGCAGUUCAAAUUCACCAGCCGCUCCUUGGAAACCCUACGGGGCAGUUCUGUUCUGUCCGCUAUGGGUUGGAAUCGGCUCGACAGCAAUGGAUUUGGUUUCUUUUUUUUUAAUCUUUAUGGAAGCAGACUGCCACAUCUUUUUCCCAAGGAGUCACUCACUAGUGGGCUCGAACUGCUGACCUUUGGUUGGGUUAGCAGCCUAGAGCUGUAACCAUUGCAUCCCUGGGGCUCCUUAACAUGAGUGUGCAGGGAUAUAAUAUUGUCAGUCUCAGAAACAGUUAAUCAUUGACUAGCAUCACUUACACAUAUUUUUUCUUUAUUCAUUUUCCACUCUAAAUUUAAAACUACUCUUCAAUUUUUAUUGCAAAAAGUGCACAAAAUAAUUUCAUAUUUUUUCUGUCUUGUAGUCGGUGCUAUAUGAACUAUUUUUUCUUGCAAUAAAAUCAUACACAGGUUAUAAGAGCAAACCAAAAUAAGCCCCGUGCACAUUACCUCUUCCAUUAAAAUAUACCUGAUCUUAUUUUAAAUUGACACCUUCAGAAUAAUUUUGACCUCAUAUUGUUAUUUGUGAAAAUAUCUUUAAGUAGAAAUUUUUGAAAAAGAAAGCCUCUAAUAUAUUCAUACCCUAGCAAUGAAAAAGCAUAAAUUAGUCCACAACUUUGAAUUAAAAUAUGAUAAUUACCAAGGAUGUGAGUAUGGGAUGGUGAACACAGAUGUUUUCAAUAAGCAAUUAUAAGUUCUUCUAGCAGAACAGUGCACGUUCUUUUGCAAUGAAGCUGGUGAAGGUUUCCUAGCAUAGGUGACUUUUCAGCUGGUUUUUUAAUAAUAAGUAUUUAAAUGAACAGUUUUGACUACCAGCCUGAACAAGGAGAAAACAUGUUAAUCUUUAGUUUAAGCCUGAGCAAGUGAAACUAGAUACAUUCGUAAUAAUAUCCCUGAUUCUCCUUCUGAGUUUGAAAAGAAAUACUCUACUUCCUAAAUUAAUACAGGAAGGAGGAAAAUUUCUUACUCUGAUUUAUUUCUCAAUUUGGAUUUGUGUUUUUGGAAAAGAAUAAUAACAGUCCUGGGUUCAGAAACCUUUAUCACUGCCAAAUAAUGUACUUCUUUUUUUGUUGUUGUUCAAACAUCUUGUAUGAAGCAAUACAGUUAGGCAUGCACUCUUAUACACAAAUCUGUAAAGACAUAUGAAUGCUGAACUCACUUGAAAAUUAUGGGCUGAAAAAAUGCUGGGUUAGGAAUAAUGGUGACAACUAAAGUUGUAUAUAAAUUUUCAUAUAUUCUACUUCUGUUCACCUUACGUGUUAUCAUAAAAAUGAUAAAACACCAGCAUCCAACUUCUGCUUAAAUCACUUGAGCCUAUCAGAAACCUUAUGGAGUAUUUUAGGUCUAAGCUCUAAUACAUUAUUUGUGAAUCAGUGUCGGGAUUGAUUUCCAGGACUCACUUUACUUGACUGUUUAUAGCAUGGACUUUUAAAAAUGAUUAUCAUCAGUAUAGCUGCUUCAAAGAAUAUGUCAAAAAUGGCACAUAUUUGUAUUCCUGCCUGCUAUUCCUUUCUCACAAGUGGGGCAUGGGAUGCCAAUGACUUAAGUCUUUUUUGGAGGUGGUGAGCUUGCUGGGCAAUCUGGUUGUGCUGUCAAGUCAUUUAAAGCCAGUUUUGGCUCAGCCAUCCCACUUGUUAAAUAAUCAUUCUAUACUUGUAUCUAUCUGUAAGCUUCUUUUCCAGAAAUAUAGAUUUCAUGAUAUUCCUGAAUAUUCCCUUUGGAAAAAACCCUGGUGUUGUAGUGGUUAAGUGCUAUGGGUGCUAACCAAAAGGUGGGCAGUUCAAAUCCACCAGGCACUCCUUGGAAACUCUACGGGGCAGUUCUACUCUGUCCUCUAGGGUCGCUAUGAGUCUGAAUCAACUCGAUGGCAGUGGGUUUGGUUUGGUUUUGGAUUCCUUUUGCAUUUAGUUAAAAAAUGUUAUUUGUAAUUGAUUAGAGGAUGGGGAUAAAUAAGCCAAUAUUUCAGAAACAGACAGGCCACUGUCACUGGGUGUGCAGAACCACGUAGGAACUUGUGUGUCUCCACAUUUAUGUAUGUCGGGAUGCCCUCAUUUGCUAAUCACUGAAUACCCGACUUAGACUGGUUUAAACAAAAGGUGAUUUUCUGGUUUACCUAACUCUGGAUUUAAUGGCAUUGCACUCAAAGCUUGAAUUUUUUCUUCAGUUCAGCUUGAGAAAUGCUGAGUGUGUUCUUCUGUUUUGGUUUUCUAUCUCCAGGUUUUUGUACAUGUCAUCAUAAUACUUUACUUUGUCUUCUGGAGCUACCCUUUGAAAUUUUCUGUUCAGCUCUUUUGCUUCAUCAUUUUUUCCUUUUGCUUUAGCAGCUACUCAAUGUUUGAGAGCAAAUUUCAGAGUCUCUUCUGAUAUACAUUCAGAUCUUUUCUUUCUCUCCUGACUUUUUAAUGACUUCCUGCUUUCUUCAGGUAUGAUGUCCUCGAUGUCAUCCCGUAACUUUUCUGGUCUCUGGUCGUUAGUGUUCAAUGCCUCAAAUCUAUUCUUCAGAUGGUCUCUAAAUUCAGGUGGGAUAUACUCAAGAUCAUACUUUGGCUCUUGUGGACUUGUUCUAAUUUUCUUCAGUUUCAACUUGAACUUGCGUAUGGGUAAUUGAUGGUUUGAUCCACAAUCGGCCCCUGGCCUUGUUCUAACUGAUGAUAUUGAGCUUUUCCAUCAUCUCUUUCCACCAAAGUAGUUGAUUUGAUUCCUCUCUUCCGUCUGGCAAGGUCCAUGUGUAUAGUAGCUGUUUAUGUUGAUGAAAAAAGGCAUUUGCAAUGGACAGGUCAUUGGUCUUGCAAAAUUCCAUCAUGUGAUCUCUGGCAUUGUUUCUAUCACCAAGGCCAUAUUUUCCAACUACUGAUCAUUCCCUUCUUUGUUUCCAACUUUUGCGUUCCAAUCACCAGUAAUUAUCAAUGAGUCUGAUUGCAUGUUGGAUCUAUUUCAGACUACAGAAGUUGGUAAAAAUCUUCAAUUUCUUCAUCUUUGGCCUUAGUGGUUGGUGUGUAAAUUUGAGUAAAAGUCGUAUUAACUGGUCUUCCUUGUAGGCGUAUGGAUAUUAUCCUAUCAGUGGCAGCAUUGUACUUCAGGAUCGAUCUCGAAAUGUUCUUUUUGAUGAUGAAUGCAAUGCCAAUUAUUUUCAAGUUGUUCUCGGCAUAGAAGGCCAUAUGAUUGUCCAAUUCAAAAUGGCCAAUACCAGUCCAUUUCAGCUUACUAAUGCCUAGGAUAUUGAUUUUUAUGCAUUGCCUUUCAUUUUUGAUGAUUUCCAAUUUUCCUAGAUUUAUACUUCAUACAUUCCAGGUUCCGAUUAUUAGUGGAUGUUUCCAGCUGUUCUCAUUUUGAGUCAUGCCACAUCAGCAAAUGAAGGUUCCAAAAGCUUGACUCCCUCCAUGUCAUUAAGAUUGACUACUUUGAGGAGACAGCUCUUCCCCAGUUGUAUUUUGAGUGCCUUCCAACCUGGGAGGGCUCAUAUUCCGGCACUAUAUCAGACAAUGAAUGUAUUGCUGCUAUUCAUAAGGUUUUCAUUGGCUAAUUCUUUUUAGAAGUAGACCGCUGGGUCUUUCUUCCUAGUCUGUUUUAGUCUGGAUGUUUAGCUGAAAACUGUCUGCUGUGGGUGACCCUUUGAAAUACUGGUGGCAUAGAUUCCAGCAUCACAGCAACACACAAAUGGUAAGAAAUUUGGAAGACAGUUACCUGGCCAGCCAACUGGAAGAUAUUCGUAUUUUUGCCUAUUCCGGAGAAAGAUGAUCCAGCAGAAUUUGGAAACUAUCAAAUAAUAUCAUUAAUAUCCCAUGCAAUCAAAAUUUUGCUGAAGAUAUUUAAAAGAGGCUGUGGCAGUAUAUCGACAGGGAACUGUCAGAAAUUCAAGCCGGAUUUAGAAGAGGAUGCAGAACCAGGGGUGUCAUUGCUGAUGUCAGAUAGAUCUUGGCUGAAAGUAGAGAAUAUCAGAAAGAUGUUUACCUGUGUUUUAUUGACUGUGCAAAGGCAUUCGACUGUGUGGACCAUAACAAAUUAUGGAUAACAUUGAGGAGAAUGGGAAUUUUGGCACACGUAAUCGUGCUCAUGCGGAAUCUGUACAUGGAUCAAGAGGCAAUCGUUCGAACAGAACAAGAGGAUACUGCAUAGUUUAAAGUCAAGAAAGGUGAGUAUCAGGGUUGUAGCUCUUCACCAUACCUAUUCGAUCUGUAUGCUGAGCAGAUAAUCGAAGGGGCUAGACUGUAUGAAGAAGAACGGGGCAUUAGGAUUGGAGGAAGACUCAUUAACAAUCUGUGUUAUGCAGAUGACACAACCUUUCUUACUGAAAGUGAAGAGGAAUUGAAGCACUUACUGAUGAAGAACAAAGACCACAGCCUUCAGUAUGGAUUACACCUCAACAUAAAGAAAACAAAAUUUCUCACAACUUAACCAAUAAGCGACAUCAUUGUAAACGGAGAAAAGAUUGAGGUUGUCAAGGAUUUCAUUUUAGUUGGAUCCCCAAUAGACAGUCAUGGAAGCAGCAGUCAGGAAAUCAAAGGAUGCAUUGCAUUGGGCAAAUCUGCUGCAAAAGACCCCUUUAAAGUGUUGAAAAGCAAAAAGUCACCUUGAGGACUAAGGUGUGCCUCAUGCAAGCCUGUGUGUUUUCAGUCGCCGCACAUGCAUGCGAAACCUGGAAAUAAGGAAGACUGGUGAAGAACUGACACCUUUGAAUUCUGUUGUUGGUGAAGAAUAUUGCAUAUACCAUGGACUGCCGUAGAACGAGGGAAACCCUGGUGACAUAGUGGUUAAGAGCUAUGGCUGCUAACCAAAAGGUUGGCAGUUUGAAUUCACCAGGUGCUCCUUCGAAACUCUAUGGAGCAGUUCUAUCCUGUCCUAUAGGGUUGCUAUGAGUCGAAAUUGGCUCGACGGCAAUGGGUUUUGUGCCAUAGAAGUAACAAAUCUCUCUUGGAAGAAGUACAACUGGAAUGCUUCCUAGAAGCAAGGGUGGCGAGACUGCGUCUCACACACUUUGGACAUGUUAUCAAGAGGGAUCAGUCCUUGGAGGAGGACACCUGGCUUGGUAAAAGUAGAGGGUAAGUGAAAAAGAGGAAGACCCUUAACAAGAUGGAUUGGCACAGUGGCUGCAACAAUGGGCUCAAGCAUAAGCAAAAAAUGUGAGGAUGGCGAAGGACUGGGCAGUGUUUCAUUCUGUUGAGCAUCAGGUCACUAUGAGUCAGAACUGACUUGACAGCACCUAACAACAACAGGAACAGAUGUAAUGGUAAAGGUUCAGGGCUUAAUGAUGUCUGCAAGGGCUUGGUGUCUUUUCAAAAGGUUGCUGUUGUCUUCCAUAAUGUCAGCUAGUGUUAUUUGUCCGUGGGUUUGCAAGAUACCUGCAAACAACUCCAGUGGGUCUUCCUCUUCGAUACGCAGAGGGAGGUGUGGUGCUUUCAGAAGCUGAUUAUUGUUGUAGCCUAAAUUCAGUGCCCCAUCUCUAGAGUCAAGGAUAAAAUUAGCUAUUCCAAAAUUAUUUACACGAGGAGGAUGUGGUGUAGUAAUGGAUAUCAGGAAAAUUUCUAAGAAAAGGUACAGUAGAUGCUUAGGUGGCAAUCACCAAGGCCACUGGAGAGAGAGUUUUCCAUUUUAUCCUGUUUUAUAAUUCAUUUUCUCCUUGGCCUCUAAAAUCUAGGGAACAAUUAGACUUCUCUGAAAAAAAUGAACCGUGGUACGUGAGAAUAGUUCACUCUGACGCACAGUUGCAACACAAACAAAAUCGACUCCUUGAUUUGAGUGUUCCCAAGGCAGGCUUCUGUAACCAUUAUCGGUAUUUCUGCCAUGAACUUCAAAGAUCCCUAGGGAGCAAGCUUUGCAUGAGAAGAGGCCUCACAAGAGAUAGAGAUUCACUGAGAAAUAUAUCAGAAUAUGCCUUGAUGAACCACCUUGUUCCAGUGUAGAUGGAAGGAUAAUGAUAGCUCUUCAGUGGAUCCUCCAUUGCUCCUGGGAGCAGUUAUGACCCUCUGGUCUUCUGGGGAAGAGAUUUUAUAAUUCACCAGUUAUCUGAGGUAUGAUUUUGCAGGAGACUGGGCUGUUUUGAAACUUCAAAGUAGCUAUUCUGCCCUUUUCUUCAACGCCUGUACUCUUUUUUUUUUUUAGUAUUUUGUUGUUGUUUGAGUGAAAGUUCACAGAGCAAAUUAGCUUCCCAUUCAACAAUUUAUACACAGCUUGUUUCGUGACAUUGGCUGCAAAUCUCUGAAUGUGUCAGCACUCUCCUCCCUUCCUCCCUGGGUUUCCCAUGUCCAUUCACCCAGCUUUCCUGCCCCUACCAUCCUUCUGAACUUUGCUAUUAGACAAAUGCUGCCCUUUAGUUCUUGUAUUGUUGAUUGUUCUGAGUUGUAUGUUCCUCACUGGUGUUAUUGUUCAUUUUAUAGGCCUACCUAUUAUAUGGCUAUAAUGUGAUCUCUGGAAACCCUGGAGGCCUAGUGGUUAAGUGCUACGGCUGCUAACUGAAGGGUCGGCAGUUCAAAUCCACCAGGUCCUCCGUGGAAACUCUAUGGGGCAGUUCUACUCUGUGCUAUAGGGUCACUGUGAGUCGGAAUCGACUCGAAGGCACUGAGUUUUGGGUUUUAAUGUUAUCUCUAGGAGUGAUUUUAGGUCCAAGUCUGAAGGGUUUCUAAGAACCAUAGUCUCGGGGGUUCUACCAGUCUCUAUCAGACCAGUAACUCUGGUGUUAUUUAUGAGUUUGAAUUUUAUUCUACAUUUCUGUCCCACUUUGUGCAUGACCUUCUAUCUGUGGAUGACCUACAUGUCUACUAUCUAGUUAGUGGCCACCUCCCACCCCCACCCCUGGUAACCAUUAAAGAAUGUUUCCAUCUGUAUGAAAACCUUUUCUUGACUUUUUAUAAUAGUGGUCUCAUAUGAUAUUUGUCCUUUUGUGAUUGACUUAUUUCACUUAGCAUAAUGUCCUUCAGGCUCAUCCAUGUUGUGAGAUACUUUAUGGAUUUGUCGUUAUUUUUUAACAUUGUGUAAUAUUCCACUGGGUGUUUGUGUCACAGUUUGUUUAUUCAUUCUUCUGCUGAUGGGCACUUAGGUUGUUUCCAUCUUUUUUCUAUUGUAAACAAUACUGCAGUGAACAUGGGUGUGCAUGUGUCUAUUCGUGUCAUGGCUUUAAUUUCUCUAGGAUAUAUACCUAGGAAGUGGAAUCGCCAGAUCAUAAGUAUUUCUAUUUCUAGCUUUUUGAAGAAGUGCCAUAUCAUUUUCCGUAGUGGUUGUACCAUUUUACAUUUCCACCAGCAGUGUAUGAGAGUUCCAAUCUCCCUACAAGCUCUCCGGCAUUUGCUCAGUGCCAUUAUUACCUGUGUGAGAUGGUAUCUCAUUGUAGUUUUGAUUUGCCUCUUGCUGAUGGCUAAUGACCACAAGCAUCUCUUCAUUGGCUGCCUGGAUGUUUUCUUUAGUGAAAUGUCUAUUCAUGACCUUUGACCAUUUUUUAAUUGGGUUGUUUGUCUUUUUGUUGUUGAGUUGUUGGAGUUUUCUAUACAUUUUAAAGAUUAAACUCUUGUCAGAUAUGUCUAGCCAAAAAAAUUUUUUUCCGGUCUAUGGAUUCUCUUUUUACUCUUUUGGAAAGUCUUUUGAUGAAGGUAAGUAUUUGGUUUUCAGGAGGUCCCAAUCACCUAGUUUACCUUCUGCUGUUUGUGCUUUUCUGGUUAUGUUUGAUAGUCUCUUUAUGCCAUAAAUUAGGGCUGCCAGGUUUGCCCCUAUUUUUUCUUCUAUGAUAUUUAUGGUUUUAGGCUUUACAUUUAGGUCUUUGAUACAUCUUGAGUUAGUUUUUGUGUAUGAUGUGAGGUAUGUAACCUGUUUCAUUUUUCUGCAAAUGGAUAUCUAGUUUUGCUAGGACAUUUGUUAAAGAGACUACCUUCCCUCCAUUUAAUAGAUUUCGACCCUUUGUCAAAGAUUAACUGUCCAUAGAUGAAUGGGUUUAUUUCCGGAUUUUCAAUUCUGUUCCAUUGGUCUGUGUCUUUUGUACCAGUACCAGGCUGUAUAGUAGGUUCCAAGAUCUGGGAGUGUGAGACCUCUUUUCUCCUGCAGAGCUGCUGGUGGGUUCGAACUGCCAAUCUUUUGGUUCACAGUCCAGCACUUAACCAUUACACCACCAGGGCUCCUUCUGCUUAAUUCUACUCAGGUUUCUUUUUGACUCUGUACCUAUCUUUGGGUAGUGUCAUCCUCUGCUCACUAUAGUCACUUGGAAAAUCAGAUUGAAGGACCUCCGUAUUUUAUCUGCAUUACCUUGAAACACACCCUCCUUGGUCUGUAUUUCAGGAGAAGACAGAAACUGGAGAAUUCUGCCUGGACCUUUCUUUCAGUGACUCAUCCCAGAAAUAACACAUAUUACUUCCUCUCACAUUUCGUGGGCUUACCUUAGUCAUAUAUGCCUGCCCAACUGUAAGAGUUGCAAUGAAGGGGAGCAAAAGGAGUAUUUGGUGAGCAUUACUAUACCUGCUACAACUUUCUGUGAUCCAGAAAAAAUAUUGCAGAUUCUGAAUAUCUGGUUAGAUACCUGGGAACUAAUGUAUCCCCUUGCCGUCUGCUUCAUUUGGUUGAAGAGUCUCUUACAAUCCACAUAAUUUCUCUAAAUGAAGCAUAGAUCCCAGCAUGCACAUGUAUUGUGGGUAUUUUCUAUUGAAGGAUUCCUUUGCAGACACUAUCAUUCCAGCCCAAGGCUGCUAGUGUUGGCAUUUUUGGGAACACUCCAGUACAUGUCACAUUCAUUCUUGGUUUCUGCUCAAUAUCUAAGGUUCUCUGGUCAUCCAUCCUUCUUACAGUCUCUCAUUCCCUUGCUCUUCUACUUCUCCAGGAACCCAAGCGGACACCACACUAUACUUUUGCAUUAGGAGUGAUUGAAAAUCAGGGUUUGGGGGAGCCUGAGGUGGGCAAGGAUUACCCAUUCCACAGGUGGACUGGGACCACAGACAAAGGAGAAAUCCCCAACCUCAGAUCACUAUCAGUCGCAUGUGCUGGACACCCGCCCUCUUAUCUUUAUCCCUCGCAGGCUCUGUCAGCACCACCAGCAGAGCUCCUAUAUCAAGUCAGUGCUGAGUGGCCCAGAUAAGGAUACCAUGCAAGAGGCUGAACCCAUAGCCUGAGGUCCUGGAAACACUGUGGAUCCUGUUUAGGAGAGAAGAACGACCCUGGUUGGCACCGUGGACUCACUGUAGUAGUAAAAUGCUAAGACACUCAGAGCUUAACCAAUAGUAUCCCCAAGGAUGCUGAUGCCCUAAGGCUGUUGUAGUCCUCUGCUUAUCACUGUGCUUUACUUUGAUGCAAGCCAGGUACGAGUGGAGCCUACAUUGGAAGGUGGACUGCAGUGGGAACCUGUGGGAGCCUAAGUGUUGGCUUUUUGGGACUCCUGCUAAUGACGCUCUCUUGCUGCAGCCUGUUAACAACCUCAUUAUGGGGAGAAAUUUGUCACUAGUCACCACUGGAACUCCUACUACCUCCCCCAAGAUAGGAGACAGCAACCAUAUACCACAGUUAAUCACAUGCAACAAUACAAAAAAGAACAUCCUUUCUUUUUUUUUUUUUUUUAACCUCCUGAAAGGGGUGCCCAUAUUUUUGCUCCUACUGCUAUGCCGAGGCCCAGCAAAAUUGUUAAAACAUCAGAACUCUUCUAGAGCAGGAAGAUCAAGAGGAAGAAAAGGAGAAAAGGGUGUGAGAUCGGCAGGUAGAGUGGGAACAGUGAAACCAAGAUCUGGCAGUCAUUUUUAGACUCUUUUUUUUUUUUUUUAAUGUGCUUUAAGUGAAAGUUUACAAAUCAAGUCAGUCACUCAUACAAAAACUUAUGCAUAACUUGCUAUGUAAUCCUAUCCGUUCUCCCCCUAAUGUGACAGCACACUUCUCCUCUCCACCCUGUAUUUCCCAUGUCCAUUCAACCAGCUUCUGUCCUCUUCUGCCUUCUAAUCUCAUCCCCAGAUAGGAGCUGCCCACAUAGUCUCAAGUGUCUACUUGAGCCAAGAAACUCACUCCUCAUCAGUAUCAUUUUCUGUCUCAUAGUCCAGGCAAAUUCGCUGUUUGAAGAGUUGGUUUCGGGAAUGGCUCCAGUCUUGGGCUAACAGAGGGUUCAGGGGCCAGGACCUCUGAGGUCCCUCUAGUCUCAGUCAGACCGUUAAGUCUGGUCUUUUUAUUAGAAUGUGAGGUCUGCAUCCCACAGUUCUCCUGGUCCAUCAGGGAUUCUCUGUUGUGUUCCCUGUCAGGGCAGUCAUUGGUGGUAGCUGGGCACCAUCUAGGUCUUCUGGUCUCAGGCUGAUGUAGUCUCUGGGCUUUGUGGCCUUUUCUGUCUCUUGGGCUUAUAUUCACCUUGUGUCUUUGGUGUUCUUCAUUCUCCUUUGCUCCAGGUGGCCUGAGACCAAUUGAUGCAUCUUAGAUGGCUACUUGCUAGCGUUUAAGACCCCAGACACCACUCACCAAAGUGGUAUGCAGAGUGUUUUCUUAAUACAUUUUGUUACGCCAGUAGACCUAGAUGUUCCCUGAAACCAUGGUCCCCAGACCUGAGUCCCUGCUACUCUGGCCUUAGAAGUGUUUGGUUGUAUUCAGGAAACUUCUUUGCUUUUGGUUUAGUCCAGUUGUGCUGACCUCCCCUGUGUUGUGUGUUGUCUUUCCCUUCACCUAAAUAGUUCUUGUCUAUUAUUUAAUUAGUGAAUACCCUUCUCCCUCCUUCCCUACCCUCAUAACCAUCAAAGAAUAAUUUCUUCUGUGUUUAAACUUUUUCUUGAGUUGUUAUGAUAGUGGUCUCAUACAAUAUUUGUCCUUUUGCUACUAAUCUCACUCAGCAUAAUGACUUCCAAAUUCCCCCAUGUUAUGAGAUGUUUCACAGAUUCAUCUUUGUUCUUUGUUGUUGUAUAGUAUUCCAUUGUGUGAAUAUACCAAACCAAAACCAAACCCAAUGCCGUCGAGACGAUUCUGACUCAUAGUGACCCUAUAGGACAAAGUAGAACUGCCCCAUAGAGUUUCCAAGGAGUGCCUGGCGGAUUCAAACUGCCGACCCUUUGGUUAGCAGCCAUAGCACUUAACUACUACGCCACCAGGAUUUCCGUGAAUGUACCAUAAUUUGUUUAUCCAUUCAUCCAUUGGUGGGCACCUUGGUUGUUGCUACCUUUUUGCUAUUAUAAACAGUACUGCAGUGAACAUGGGUGUGCAUAUAUCUAUUCGUGUGAAGGCUUAUUUGUCUAGGAUGUAUUCUAAGGAGUGGGAUUGCUGGAUCAUAUGGCAGUUCUAUUUCCAGCUUUUUAAGGAAGUGCCAAAUCGAUUUCCAAAGUAGUUGUACCAUUUUAUAUCCCACUUUGUGACUCUUGGCCACCUUGUGGGAAGCAGAAGAAGAAUGCUACCCUAGCACUAAAUGUGCAAUUUUACAUCUGGCUUAAUAUAAUUGAUGGACAUGGAUUUUGUUAUAUUGCCUGAGGCCAGACCUGCCCCUACUCACAUCGAGUGGGCACAGUAAAUUCAAGAUAAAUUCAAGGCAUGGCCAGCAGGGCAACCCACACAAGUGGCCAAAAGGCCUUGGAGGGCUAAAAUGGUAAACAGAACAUGGAGGCAAGGCUUCAGACACGUUGCUCAACAACCUGAGAACUAGGCUGUCUGGAAAUGCAUUAAAGACCAUUAGAUGCGCAUGGUCUGGGAAUUUUUUCCACAGUCCCCUGAAGUCUUGUUCUGCAGAUGGCUGAAAGCUAACCCUGAUUGGAUUCAGCUGUGAGAGUGUGGGUGCCUUGGUGCAGUUACUCAGUUGUAGAGAAGGCUAUCAAUUCUAAGCCUUAACCACUGCCCUCAACCCUGACUGACUGGAUAUGUUUUUCAAUGCUGUGAGACCAGAAGCCCAAGCACGGUGUUACAGUAUUGUAAAGUUUGCCCAAGGUCAAAUUCACUACCCUCUAACUGCACUUAAAAAAAAAAAAAAGAAAAAUUUUUUUUUUUUAGCAAAUAUGUAAGUGCCCAGACUUAACGCACCCUCUCCAGAAGCUGCUUGCAACAACCCAACAUCACCACCUGUUGGCCCUGGGAUAUUACGAGUCUCAGCAAACAGGAGUGUGUGUGGGAGAAGGACAGUGCCACAAAGUGCCUUACCGUCCCACCUGGAAGGAUAUUUACUGGUGCAUCUGCCCCUGGGUUGCUUGGAGUAGCUGGAGCACCUACAUCAUCUGUUCCACCUGGGAAACAUCACAAUUGUGCAUAUGGCGAGAAGCCAUACAGCACGGGGAGCUGAAGUCACUGUUUUUCUCACCUCCAAAGGAUGGCAAGAUGGGCAGCUGGGGCCAUAGUGACAGCUAACGUAGGGACAGUAAUCUUUGUUCUGUUUCCUGAUUCAGCUCUUUCUCCUGUUCUUGGAGUUGUUGUUAGGUGCCUUUGAGCUGGUUCCAGUUCAUAGCAACCUCAUGUACAACAGAAUGAAACAGUGCCUGGUCCUGUGGCAUCCUCACAAUCGUUGCUAUGUUAAAGCCCAUUGUUGCAGCCACUGUGUCAGUCCAUCUCCUUGAGGGUCUUCCUCUUUUUUACUGACCCUCUAAUCAUAAUGCCGUCCUGCAGGGACUGGUUCCUUCUGAUAACAUGUACAGAGUACGUGAGACGAAGUCUCGCCAUCCUCCAUUCUAAGGAGCAUUCCGGCUGAACUUCUUCCAAGACAGAUUUGUUCUUUCUUCUGGCAGUCCAUGAUAUAGUCAAUAUUCUUCAUCAACACUGUAAUUCAAAGGCAUCAGUUCUUCUUCAGUCUUCCUUAUUCAUCAUCCAGCUUUUGGGUGCAUAUGAAAUGAUUGAAAACAACAUGACUUGGGUCAGGUACACCUUAGUCUUCAAAGUGACAUCUUUGCUUUUUAAUACUUUAAAGAGGUCUUUUGUAGCAGAUUUGCCCAAAUAUAAUGUGUCCUUUAAUUUCUUCAUAGUUGUUACUUGAAAUGUUCUCUGUCCUUCUACCGCCUUCCGUAUUUAUCCUCCUCAAACUUAUUUCUCCACUUCCCUACAGAUGACAUUACAUUAAAAUUCACAUAAAAAUUAGUAACCGACAGAUAACAACUGUUUUUAUUUUUUGCCAGAUGCCUACAACUCUUUGUCUUUGCUCAUCCUGUCUUCUUUCAUCUUCAUUCAAUGUCAUUGUCAAGGAGUCUGGCGUAACGCCUCCUUUGUGUCACCUGGUGCCUGUCCUUUCCAUGAUUUAUUUCCCUUCCAUCACCUUUUCACUAACACCUAUCUGUGUUAAAAAAAAAAAAAAAAGCAAACAAAAACUCUCUUGUUUGCCCCUUUUUUUUUAAUUUGCCCCUGCUUUCCUGACCUUUAAAGCCAAGCUCUGUAACAUUGUGUUGUUCUUUACAUCCUCUGCAUUCCAUUUUCCAUUCAGCCCAUUGAAUCAGACAUGACCUCCAGUACUUCACUGAAGCAGCUCUUAUUUUACUUGGAUGUAUGUAGCCCUUGCUGCGAUUUCCUGCUUUCGGAAAUGCUCUUCGCCCUUGGCCUGUGUGAUGGGACUCCUGGUUUGUGCCUCGCAUCUCUGACUGCUGUAUUCCUUUUAUGGGCGCCACUUCCUCUUAUAAUCCCUUAAAUGCUAAUGUACUUUAAUGUUCCUUCCUGUGCUCCCAUCUUUACCCACUGGACAAACUCCGAGAAACCUCUGUCACCUUCCUUGUAUUCAGAUACAAAUUGUUAUCAUGUCUCAGAGAUCUCCUGAAUUCCUGACCCUUUGUUUUUUAACUCUGUUGUUUUUCUGUAAGGUGGUUCAGCCCAGAUCUAGAUUUAUGUUCUCUAUAUCUACCUGCUUACUGUACAUCACAACUUAGAUAUUUUAAGAAUCCUCAAAGUCAUUAUAUUAAAAAUGAAACUCAUCUCCUACCCUCCUUCUAAGUUUCUCACCCAUAUUUAAAAAAAAAAAAAAAUUUUUUUUUUUUUUUUUUAAUUUACCCAUGUCAAAAACCUAGGUGGCAUCCAAGGCGCCUUUGUCUCUCAUAUCUACAGUUAGUCACCACAUUCUUAUUUAUUUUACCUUGUUAAUAUCAAUCAAACCUAGUGCCUAAUUUCCAUCCCAUCUGCCUCUACCUUCCUUCUGGUCACCAACAUUUCUUACUUUGUUCUAAAAGCCAUUUUUCAAAUUCGUUUCCCUUCUUUUGGUCCUUAUUUGACCCAUAGCAAAGUGAUCUUUUAGUAUAAAUCUGAUCACAUUACUUCCUCCUUUUCAAGCCCUUCCUAGUUUCUCUACUGACCACAGAGUGAAAUCUAAACUCUUCACCAAGCCAUUCAGAAGCGCCUUGUGAUCUAGCAUCUCUUGAUCUCCCCAGCUGUAUCUCACCAAUACCCACCACUUUUAUUUUUAAUAUUAAUUUGUACUUUGCAUAUUUACUCCUGUUUGUUCUUGAGAUUUCAGUUUAGAUGCCGUUUCCUCUAAAAAAUCUUCCUUGGGACCCUCACAAUUAGAUUGAACGUCUUUCCAAGAUGCAACCUUAGCCCUUGAUACUUGGUCAUAUGGGGAUAGAGAUCACAUGAUUCAAACUCCCUGUUUAUGGCUCUUUGUAGCUCCCUAAAGGCAAGAAUAGUGCCUUUUCUACUUUGAAUCAUGCCUGACUUAAAGAAGGUACUCAAUAAACACUUUUGAUUGAAUGAACGAAUGCUCUUGGGACCUAAUGAGACAGGCCUACUGAUGUAGGGUAUUUUCUUUGUCCCCAUAAUUCCUUUUUUCUUCCUUUGGCUCGUAAGAAUUAAUACUCUUUAUCUCUCUAAUUUUAAGACUUAGCUUAAGUUGUCUUUCUUCUUCUUAGUCAUUCCCCUAUCUUAAAUGCCUUUACUGUACCCCCGACACCCUAUGUUUAUUUGCCAUACCACUUAAAGCAAUAAUUUAUAAUUACUGAUUUUCUUACCUGUAUUCACCUCUUGACUUUAAAUCAUUUGAAGCAGGACUUUAUAGUGUUCUUAUCUUUGUUUUUAUACGCUUCUCCCAAGAAAAGAGGAACUCUUAAAAUACUUAAUGUAAAGGUGUUGGGGAGUAGCCACAGAAUUCUUCGUAUAAGUUCAACACAGGGGUUCUUAAAGACAGUUUUCAAACUAAAUGCCUUUGGUAGAUUAUAAGCCAAGUUAUCAGUUGAUUAUAAGAGGAUGGAGAAUUUUAACUGCUUUUUGACUUGCAUUUAUUUAUUUAUUACAACCGACUAUAGAUUCCCCUAGAUUUUUAAAUGGCCUGUCUCAAAUAAAAUUUGAAUGAGCAUGGGAAGCAGCUGUUAUGGUCCAAUAUUUUCUCAUCUUUUAUUCCAUUCACUUAACAGUAGUCAUAGAAUGAAUUACAUUAGCCAGCAUUUUGGAUCUAAGCCGUGUUUUGAAGCCAUUAGGAAAUUAAGUCUGUCCAGGUGUUGCUCAUCGUGCUGUGAUUGUUUUAGGAGACCAGAACUUAUCUCAAAGAUAGAACAGAAGUACAUUUAUAGAAGAACAUGUUCAAAGUCUAGGGUAAUACAGAAUUCUAAGCAUUUUUGGUUUAUUAUAUUUACAUCUACACUGCUCCUGGUUUUUACGAAGCUAUGCAUUAUUGUCGUUAGGUGCCAUCAAGUUGAUUUCAACUUGUACUGACUGUACACACAACAGAAUGAACCACUGCCUGGUCCUGUGUCAUCCUCACAGUUGUUGCUAUGUUUGAGCCCAUUGUUGUAGCCACUGUGUCAGUCCAUCUUGUUGAGGGUCUUCUUCUUUUUCACUGACCUUCUAUCAAGCAUGAUGUCCUUUCUGACCCCUCCUGAUAACAUAUUCAAAGUAUGUGAGAUAAAGUCUCGCCAUCCUCACUUCUAAGGAGCCUUUGGGCUUUACGAUUUCCAAGACAGAUUUGUUCAUUCUUUUGGCAGUUCAUGGUAUAUUCAUUUUAUUCUUUGCCAGCACCAUAAUUCAAAUGUAUGAAUUCUUUGGUCUUCCUUAUUUAUAAGGAAACUAUGCACAACUUAUUCUAAAAAAAAAAAUCUUGACAAUACAGAAGGGUAUGAAGAAGAAAGUAAAAAUCACUUAUAAUUUUCAGAACCCAAAGAUAAUAUAUUAAUAGUCUGAUACACAUUUCGUUUCAACCUUUUUUCUGUAUCCACAUGCGCACAUACACACAUACGCACACUUGUUCUCUCUCUUACUUUCAAGUUUUUAUUUAUUAUGUAAAAGAAGGAUUAUGCUAAACUCCUAGAUGUGUGUUGCAAGUAGCCUUUCUCCCUUAAAAAUAUUGUUACAAAUGGAUAAAUUAUGGUAUAUUCACACAAUGGAAUACUACGCAUCUAUAAAGAACAAUGAUGAAUCUAUGAAACAUUUCAUAACAUGGAGGAACCUGGAAGGCAUUAUGCUGAGUGAAAUUAGUCAGAUGCAAAAGGACAAAUAUUGUAUAAGACCACUAUUAUAAGAUCUUGGCUUUCAGCAGGCAAGGUUGUGUCAUCUGCCUAUCACAGGUUGUUAACGAGCCUUCCUCCAGUCCUGAUGCCACAUUCUUCUUCAUCUAGUCCAGCUUCUCAGAUUAUUUGCUCAGCAUACAUAUUGAAUAAGUACUGCAAAAGGAUAACAACCCUGACACACACCUUUCCUAACUUUAAACCACACAGUAUCUGUCUUAGUUAUCUAGUGCUGCUGUAACAGAAAUACCACAAGUGGAUGACUUUAAGAAAGAGAAAUUUAUUUUCUCACAGUCUAGUAGGUUAGAAGUCCAAAUUCAGGGCAUCAGCUCUAGGGGAAAGCUUUCUCUCUCUGUUGGUUCUGGAGGAAGUCUUUGUCCUCAAUCUUCCCCUGGUCAAGGAGCUUCUUAGGCACAGGGACCCCAUGUCCAGAGGACGUGCUCUGCUCCUGGUGCUGCUUUCUUGGUGGUUUGAGGUCCCCAACUCUCUACUUGCAUCCCUUUCCUUUUAUCUCUUGAAAGAUAAAAGGUGGUGCAGGCCACAUCCCAGGGAAAUUCCCUUUACAUCGGAUCAGAUAUGCAACCUGGUAAGGGUAUUACAAUCCUGCCCUAAUUCUGUUAACAUAAAAUUACAAUCACAAACUAGAGGACAGCCACAGAAUACUGGGAAUCAUGGCCUAACCAAGUUGAUGUACACAUUUUUGGGGGGGACAUCAUUCAAUCCAUGACAGUAUCCCCUUGUUCUGUUCGAAUGAUUAUCUUUUGGUCUGUGUACAGGUUCCGCAUGAGCACAAUUAAGUGUUCUGGAAUUCUCAUUCUUCGCAGUGUUAUCCAUAAUUUGUUAUGAUUCACACAGUGGAAUGCCUUUGCAUAGUCAGUAAAACACAGGUAAACAUCUUUUGGUGGUGUAGUGGUUCUACAGCUGCUGGCUAAAAGGUCGGCAGUUCCAAUCUGCCAGGCGCUCCUUGGAAACUCUACAGGGCAGUUCUACUCUGUCCUAUAGGGUCGCUAUGAGUCGGAAUUGACUGGACACAGUGGGAAAACAUCUUUCUGAUAUUCUCUGCUUUCAGCCAAUAUCCAUCUGACAUCAACAGUGAUGUCACUCAUUAUACACCCUGUUCUGAAUUGGCUUGAAUUUCUGGCAGUUCCCUGUGGAUGUACUGCUACGGGCAUUUCUGAAUGAUCUUCAGCAAAAUUUUAUUUGUGUAUAAUAUUAAUGAUAUUGUUCCAUAAUUUCCCCAUUCUGUUGGAUCACCUUUCUUUGGAAUGGCACAAAUAUGGAUCUCUUCCAGUUGGUUGGCUAGGUAGCUGUCUUCCAAAUUUCUUGGCAUAGAUGAGUGAGCACCUCCAGCGCUGCAUCUGUUUGUUGAAACACCUCAGUUGGUAUUUCAUCAAUUCCUGCAUCCUUGUUUUUCACCUUCAGUGCAGCUUGGAUUUCUUCUUCACAACCAUCAGUUCUUUAUCAUAUGCUAAUCUCCUGAAAUGGUUGAACAUAGACCAGUUCUUUUUGGUACAGUGACUCUGUGUAUUGCUUCCAUCUUCUUUUGAUGCUUCCUGCAGUGUUCAGUAUUUUCCCCAUCGGAUCCUUCAGAAUUGCAACUUGAGGCUUGAAUUUUUUCUUCAGUUUUUGGAGCUUGAGAAAUGGCAAGCAAAUUCUUCUCUUUCUUCUUGAGCCGUCUUUUGAAAUCUCCUGUUCAGCUCUUUUGCUUCAUCAUUUCUUCCAUUUGCUUUAGCUUAUCUACGUUUAAGAGCAAGUUUCAGAGUCUCUUCUGACAUCCAUUUUGGUCUUUCCUUUCUAUCCUGUCUUUUCAGUGACCUUUUGCUGUCUUCAUAUGUAUUGUCCUUGAUGUCAUCCCACAGCUUAUCUGGUCUUCGGUCAUACGUGUUCAGUCUAUUAGCGCAUCUAGCCUAUUCUUGUGGGAUACUCUGAAGGUCAUAUUUUGGCUCUUGCACACUUGUUUUAACUUUGUUCAGCUUCAGCUGAAUUUGCAUAUGAGCAGUUGAUGGUCUGUUCACUAGUCAGCCCCUGUCCUUGUUGUGAUUCAUGAUAUUGAGCCUUUUCAUUGAAUUUUUUCCAGAGAUGGAGUCGAUUUGAUUUCUGUGUAUUCUAUCUGGUGAGGUUCACAUGUGUAGUCACCUUUUAUGUUGGUGAAAGAAGAUGAAAUCAUUGGUCUUGCAAAACUCUAUCAUGCAAUCUCUGGCAUUGUUUCUAUCACUAAGGCCAUAUUUUCCAACUACAGAUCCUUCUUUGUUUCCAACUUUUGCAUUCCAAUCUCUGGUAAUUGUCAGUGCAUCUUCCUUAUAUGUUUGAUCAAUUUCAGACUGCAGAAGUUGGUAAAAAUCUUCAGUUUUCUCACCUUUGCAUUUCUCACCUUUGUGUAAAUUUGAAUAAUAGUACUAACUGGUCGUCCUUGUAGGCAUAUGGAUAUUAUCCUAUCACUGGCAGUGUUGUAUUUAAGGAUAGAUCUUGAAAUGUUGUUUUUGGGGUUUAAAACAACACCAUUUCUCUUCAACAUUUGUCAUUCCCAGCAUAGUAGACCAUACUAUUGUCUGAUUCAGAAUGGCUUUACCAGUCCAUUUCAGCUCACUAAUGCCUAGGAUAUCCAUCUGUAUGUGUUCCAUUUCAUUUUUGAAGACUUUCAAUUUCCCUAGAUUCAUACUUCGUAUAUUCUACGUUCCAGUUAUUAAUGGAUGCUUGCAGCUGUUUCUUCUCAUUUUGAGUCAUGCCACAUCAACAAGUGAAUGUCCCAAAAACUUGACUCCAUCUAAGUCAUUAAGGAGCCCAUCUUCUAGCGGUAUAUCAGGCAGUGUUCUGCUGCUAUGCAUAAGGUUUUCACUUGCUAAUUCUUUUCAGAAGUAGACUGCCAGGUCCUUCCUAAUCUUAGUCUGGAAGCUCCGCUGAAACCUCCCCACCAUGGGUGACCCUGCUGGUAUUUGAACUACUGGUGGCAUAGCUUCUAGCAUCUCAGCAAUACGCCAGCAACUACAGCACGACAAACCGUUGCCGUGGUGGCACUUAACAAUAGCCAUAAAUAAUUGUCUGUAACUCCUUUGUACGGGUGAACCUGUUUGGGAACAUUUCUUUUGCUCCCAGUAUCUGUCAGUAAAUAAGGAUCCUUGUAUUUACAUUUUUUGCAAGUGUCUAUUCGCUCAUGGAGCUCUGGUGGUGCAGUGGUUAAGAGCUCAGCAGCUAACCAAGAGGUCUGCAGUUCGAAUCCACCAGCCACCCUUUGGAAAUCCUAUGGGGCAGUUUUACUCUGCCCUAUAGAUUCUUUAUGAAUUGGAAUUGACUAGAUGGCAGUGUCUUUGGUUUUUCUUUUUCUUUUUGGUUAUUUACUCAUAAUGUAUUCUUACCCAACCCAGUAACCUAGUGCCCUUGAGUCGAUUCCAACUCAUAGCAACCUUAUGGGACGGAGUAGAACUGCCCCAUAGAGUUUCCAAGGAGCGCCUGGCAGAUUCGAACUGCCGACACUUUGGUUAGCAGCCGUACUCUUAGACAUGAAAAUUCUGAGCCAUUUGUCACAUGUUGUGAAGUUUCCUCUAUGAAAGCAACAUCAAUUUACACUCCCACGAGCACUUUCAUAACUUAGCUCAUCCAUGAUAUUAGAAUUCUUUUCAGUUUUUGCCAAUUUCAUGUAUACAAUGUUGAAUCUCUUUAUAGAUUUAAUUUGCAAUUAUUAAUAAUGAGUUUGAAUAUCUUUUCAUGUUUAUUUUAUUCUCCUGAUAUAAAUUCGAUGAUUUAUGACAUUUUAGGUAGGGUGGGUUCUUCAAGAAUAUAAGUUUUAACUAAAAGCUUCACAGUAUAGCCUGAGAUAAUACUCCCUCUCUGGAAACUGGAACCAUGUAUACAUGGUUAUGUAGACUCUGUGGAGCAAGCAGCACUCAAGUGUAGACUAAAAAUGGAAUAAGAAUAUUGCAUUGUGGCAACUCCUUUGCCAAUAAUACUGAGUUGUCAUUGCUUAUGUGGGCCUGAGCUAUAAGUGGGACAUGACCUCAUGCAGCACCCCCAGUGUGUAGAAAAUGGAGAAAGUAUCAACCUGGGCCAGGCUCAUGCCUGGUUAUUUAGGCCUCCUAAAGUAAUGAACUAGGUUGAAAAUGAUUGUUGGAGUCUGACCAGUUUAGCUAAUUGAACGCUUAUUGACACAUUUCAUAAAAGCAAAUGGGUAGGUUUUGUAACUUACAGUAAUAAUGUGCACUAAUGAACUAAUGAUCGUUAUUGUCAAUAAAAGACUAAACACAUUUGUAUAAGCCAUUCUUUUAUUUUUUUAAAAAGAGUCAUAAAUGUGUUCAUUUUUUUCCCUUUGGUCAGUGUUCAAAUUUUUUUUUUUAAAUUUCUGUAUCCUUCUUACACUGUAUAGUUUAAAAAAAACAGUAAUUGAAUAUUUCUAAACUUUUUAGGAGAUAAGGAAUUAUUAUUUCCCAAAUCUCCACAAAUUGAUUUACUCUUGAGUAUUCAAAAUUCAGGCUUUAGUGUACUUGAGCAAUGUUUUGGUGAUUUAGAAUUCCUGUGGGAAUUACAAAUUUCAAAAAUUGUGGCUUUGGUGAAUCCAAGAUAAUGUUCUACUAUGACAUUACCUUGAUCUAUGUCAGUUGAAUUUACUAUUUAGUUUUGAACAAGAACUUGAUUUAGAUGAAAGAAAUACAUGCUCUUUAUUGUUAUGAAUUAUGUAAAUGUUUUACUUAAGUCUGUAAAUCAACACUUAGAAUAAUUUAAUCCUUUAUAAAGGAGAGAAGAUUGUUUUUAAAUGAGGAAAUGAGAAACAGUUAUUUCUAAUUUGUUUCAGAUAUAUAAUGUAGUUAGGGUUUGGGGACAGCCAGGUUAUACUGUUCCUUCUGUGACUUAUUUCUUCCCUAGUUUAUAGUUACUUUUUUGGACUGUUGGGUCUGCCUUGUUUUACACAGCAAGAAGGACACAAAUUAAAUCAGAAUUGUUUAAAGCUUUACUGAAACCUGUUGCUGCUGAGUUGAUUCUGACUCAUGAUGACCCCAUGUGCACCAGGGUAGAACAGUGCUGCAUAGAGUUUUUAAUGGAUGAUUUUUUGGAAGUAGAUGGCUAAGCUUUUCUUACAAGGCGCCUCUGGGUGGACUCGAACCACCAAACUUUGAGUUAGCAGCUGAAUGCCUUAACCAUUGCACCACUCAGGGACUCUUAAGCUUUACCUGGAGGAAAACUUAAAGUUUGAUUCUAAGAUUGAGUUAAACUUGAGUAACUGAAAAGUUGCCCCACAUUUUAAAUUAAACUUGUGCAUCCAAGGUACCAUAUCUCCCCUCCCCCUGCAAGCUACCGUAUUUUAAUGGUUGUGAAUAUGUACAUUAAAUUUCUUGAUCAGCCUCCUGGAAUCUUCAGCUCGAAAGGAUGAAAACUAUGAGGCAGCUAUUAUUAUAUAAAAACAAAGCAGUGACCCUAUUUCAUCCACUAGUUUCUUUUUGUCUUUCCCUCUAUAGCCAUGUCUCUACCACUUUAUCCCCAUUUACUGUUUAACUCACUGAAAUUUGUCCUCUGCUCUCACGACUCUAAUUGGUCACUUUCUGCUUUGUGUCUUUUGCAGUCUGAUUCCCUUGACUCUACUAACAUCAGUCUUAGAUCUGUUCCCCCCGCCAUCACUUCUUUUCAGGAAUCUAAAUUAGUAUUUCUUCAUCUUAAUUCUGUUGCUCCUUUCUUAAUUUACUCUGUAUAUGGCUUUCUGAAUUUUUCUUUUGCCUUCUUAGCUAUCAGCCCCUGAGGCUUUAAGCGUCUAAUCUCUUUACCCUUGGAUUUACUGCCCUCGGCUUGGGUGUUCUUAUUCUCCUUUAUUACAGUAUGACACAGGCCUGCCACUGUAACCGUGACUCAGUUAGGGCAUUAAGAAGAAUGGAUCUGAAAACCCGUUCUAGAGUUUUUGGAAAGUUAUUGAAUAGAAUGUCAGAAUCUUAUCUGGAAAUCAUUGCUCUUUUUUAUUUCAAUUCUUUGCUGACGGUAUUUUAAACAAGAAACUCUGUACUCCAAUCAAGAUGUUAAUACCUAAAGUAAAUAAAUAAAAAGCCUUGUUGAAUUGAGGAGUCGGGGCGGGGGGCGGUGGCAGCAAAGUUAUUUGUGUUUUUUUCUUAAUAUCUAUGUUGGUGGUAAUGUUGGUGGUAAUAGACAGUGAAUAUUCAAAGCUCUAUCUUAUUCUCAUUUUUCAUCAGUGAAGUACUGUAUUAGCACAUGUGUUCUAAUCUUCUGUCUCUUAGGACCAAGGAGCCCUGGUGGCACAGUGGUUAAGAGCUCAGUGGCUACCAGUUUUACUAGUAAUGAAAAUAAUCUCUACAUUGGACCAGGGAAACUUCCUUCUUCCUCUCCCUUGUACCCCUCAAGUGUCACUCAGGAGAGCCUUCUCUGUCUCUCUCUCUGACUUUGUGAUUAGGCCACAUCCCCCGUUAGAGGUUUCUCAUCAUAUUACAACUGCAGUUUUACACAUUUACGUGUGACUUUGUGGCAUGCCUUGAUUGUACAGUGGUUAGUACUCUGCAUUGUGGCUGCAGCAACCUUGGUUCAAAUCCAAGUCAUGGCAGUGUCAUGGUGCCUACCUUGGCUGAACCUGGUGUAUCUUUGGGAAACCCUGGUGGUGUAGUGCUUAAGAGCUACAGCUGCUUAACCAAAAGGUUGACAGUUUGAAUCUACCAGGCGCUCCUUGUAAACCCUAUGGGUCAGCUCUACGCUGUUCUUUAUGGUCACUAUGAGUCAGAAUUGACUAGAUGGCAAUGGGUUUUUGUUUUUUUAUUGGUUAAAGUCUAAUUUCAUUCUCUGGAUCAUGAUCUCUAGGAGGACUUUUGGUGUCAUGUCUGCAUUGGCUCACCAUUCUCCAGGGCCUAGCACAAUGCCUGGUACACAGUAGGUGUUCAAGGUAUAUUUCCUGAGUGUAAGUGAAUACAUGAGUUGGUGCUUCGUGCUUAAAUUGGAGGUUUAUGUAAGAGAACCUCAGAAUACAUACAAAAUGUGUAAAAUGUUUACUAAUUGUUGUAUUCAUCCACCACUACAGCAGACAUAGGCACUAGGGAAACAAAGACAAGUAAAACAUGGCCCUUGCACUUGAAGGAUCCAUGUUAAUCUAAAGCUACUCCUGUUGUUUUCAGGGCUUUCUGAGAAUUCUAGAGCAUCUGUGAAUAUUACAAUUCAAAUUAAUUGUCUCCAGCAGGUUCUUAACAGCUCUUCUAACCUUUAACAUCUUUUCACUUCCCACUGCUGUGGUGAAAUGACCCUUGGCCUUAUAUGAAGUCAGAAAUUAUACCUGAGAGUUUUAUAAACAGCAGAAUCCCUAUGUAAAUGGGAUGAUACAUUCUUUUUUCCCCCCACAGUGCAGUGAUGAGCAGCAAAAAGGCCAGAAACAAUUAACCAAUCAAAGAAUAAUCAGUCUCUUAUUCUAUUGAGACAUUCAUUUUAUCCCUUCUUGAAUGGAAGGAAAACCCACUGCAGAAACUAAAAGGAAAAUAGAAAGAAACAUCUCAAAAGGAAGCUACACAGUCAAGGGUUCCCUGAAAGGAAUCAGGAAAUGACAAGGAUUAGAAGGGAGGUGGUUUGUAAGAUGUGUUUGCCAGGGAGAUCUUUAGCUUCUCACUAGCAAGUUAAAAAUGUACCAAGUAAAUGUAUUCAAGAUAUGUUACUCCCACCCUGGGGAAGAGUUAAAGCAGGAUUUUCCUAAGUUUCACAGGAAACAAAUGAACAAAGUUUCUUUGAAAAAAAUUCCACCUUUGCCCCAAAGAACUUUGGCGAGAAGACAUUUUUCUGUAGUCCUUUGUUCAGGAAACGAGGACAUGGUGAUGUCUCUGGUUAUUGGAUGUAGUGCUGGUAGAGGAUGGAGCCUGCUUCAGAGCCAUACUAAUGUAAUUUCCAUACAGGAAGGGCAUGUUUGUCUUACUUUCCUUUGACUCUAUCCCUGCCUGUAACAUGGCAUGGCACAGAGUUAGUGCUGAGUAAGUACGUGUUAAAUGACCGACUGAAUCAGUGGAAGACUGAGAAGACCCUACAGCACUGGAGCAUGGGAAGGAUUAUGGGGUUUGUUGACCCUUUGAUUCCUCCCUUGCUAGUAAGCUUAUUACCUAAAGAACUUGGAUCUUAGCAGAAUUGGAAUCUUAGUACUAAGAGUUAUUUUAAACUACCAUUUUCAAAAUGUUUGUACCUACAUUAUUCAUAUAAUUCCAUUUCUUUAGCUGCCUGAGUUUCCCAGCCUGCUCAAGAGCAGAUUAGUGUAAAGAGGUAUUCAGAUCAGAGCAAUGUGUAUUCAGCCAUUUUCAUUAAAGCAUCCUUACCUGUCUAGGACUACUCCCACAUGCUGUUGUAGAUAGACUAUUGUGGGUCAGCCAAAUUAUAGUGCCAUCUAUAUUAUCAAUAUGAUAAAAAAGAAAAAAGAUAUUAUGUAUUAAAUCUCAAACCUUAAUGGGCAUAGGAAUCAGUUGGGCAUCUGUUGAAAUGCAGAUUUAGAUUUAGUAAGUCUGGGAUGGGACAGGAUUGUAUAUCUUUAAUAUACACCUAGGUGAGCUGAUGCUGCCAGGUAGACCAUAUUUUGAGUGGUAGCAAGUUGUUGGAACAUUAGAGGUCUUUGGAUAUAGCUAAGACCUCUCACUGGUUCUUUCUGACUGAUUACAUAUUUGGGAGGAUAACAUUAGAGGGCAGUGAUGGUUCAGUGGUAGAAAUCUCACCUCCCAAGCGGGAGACCCAAGUUCAGUUCCCCGCCAAUGCAUCUCAAGCUCAGUCUGUCAGUGGAGGCUUGUGUGUUGCUAUGAUGCUGAACAGGGUUUAGAGGAACUUCCAGACUAAGACAGACCAGGAAGAAAAGCCUGGCGAUCUACUUCUAAAAAUCAGUCACUGAAAAACCCCACGAAUUGUGCAAUGGGCUUACCAUGAGUUGGGCUGACUUGAGGGCAGCUAACAACUAGAUAACAUCGGUCAGUUAUGUCUGGCCCUUUUUGUCACCCAUUGGAUGAAUUUAAAAUUGCAUUCACAUGGAGAAAGACAGAUAGCAUGACUCAUUGAAAACCAAACUAAAUACAAAUCCAUUUCUAAAAGUUCAGUUGUAGACAUUGUGGUGAGACAAACAAGUGUUUCUUGUUCAAGAUCGAGAAAAUAGUGAGAUUGGGACUUAACACACAAGGUCUUAAGCCAUGAACAUUUGUCUUCUUUCUACUAUACCUUGGGCCAGAUGUGCCACAAUCAGCUUCCAGGAAAAAAAAUUGCACUGGCUUAUGAGUGAAAAGAGCUGGUUUUUAUUAUUAUUAUUUUCUAAUCUGUUGCCACUGUGCUGAAAAGAGAACUUUAUAUGGUUUUCCUCUUUAAAAUUCUUCGAGAGGAUAAAGCUUUUUUCAAGUUCCACCUAUUAACUAUUCUGUAGAUAACUUCAUUCGCAAUGGGAGACAAGAUAAACUUGCACAUAAAAACUUUUUUUCUUAAGUAGCCUGUGGUUCCCAAACAUAAAUUUCCGUUUUGCUCUUCUUUAAUGCAGUGAAAUUGGAGACUUAAUUUGAUCAACUGCAGGAAAAUAAACAUAAUGUCAUCUAAAUUUACUAAAUAACUCUUUAAGGCAGAUAUUUAAAUUAGUGAAAAUUGGAAUAUGUGUUUGAUUUUCUCUUAUUUUAACUGUUUGCAGCCUCUUGACUAUUGCUUAUAUGCUACAACUGAAUAUUUAAAUCGGGGGGAGAUCGUUUUUCAAAAUUAUGUUUCCUUCCCCUGAAUACAGUGUUAAAUUAAUGUAGAAAUGCUAAUUCAGCUACUGUUUCUUAAACUUCUGAGUCUGUUUUUUUUUUUUUUAAGUGUGGCAGCAGUCUCUCAGGAUAAUCAUUGGCUUUAGUAAUUCUCACACUCAUACUUUAAAGUAGCUUCUAGAUAACCCUCCAAGUAGCACUCCAUAUCCAUCUGAGUACUCAUUAAAACACUUUCUGUUGGUUUUGGAGUUCCUGAAUUUCUUCAUCUGAGACAAUGGAAGUUCCCCAGAUUAUGCCUUGGGGAAUUUCUUAUGUUAGAAUUUAUAUGCAAGUCUUACAUUAUUUGAAUAACCACAUUCUAAUUUAAAUAUGAUUUUUCUAUCAUUUACUUUUAAUGACUAACAUGGAUUCAAGUGACAGAUUUUUAAUUUUGGAGUUCAUUUAACCUUCCACAGAUUGAGCAUUUGACAGCCUAUGUUGUUGUCCCCUUCCCUGCACUUUUUUUCUUAGGAAAAGGGUGAGAUGGAACGUGUUUUAUAUAGGUAUCUUAAUAGAAGGCUGUUGUAGUAGUGGCUAUGAGGAUGGGACUAUUUGGAUGAAUUUAAAAGAUAUUUAGUGGCUGAAUCAGCAGGGUCUGGUGUUGACUGGAUGUGUGGGGUAUGGAUCAAGGGGAAGCCACUGUGAAUUUGGUUACCGGGGCAUAAAGCUUUUAAUCCUUCUAACAAAAAGAAUGUGUUUUGUAUCUGAGGAAACCCUGGUGGUAUAGUGGUUAAGUGCUACGGCUGCUAACCAAAGGGUUGGCAGUUCAAAUUGGCCAGGUGCUCCUUGGAAACUCUAUGGGGCAGUUCUACUCUGUCCUAUAGGGUCGCUAUGAGUCAGAAUCAACUUGACGGCACUGGGUUUGGUUUUUUUUUUUUUUUUUGUAUUUGAAUUCCCCUCAUAAAUAUUAAUUUGCUUUUUUUGGGGCAUAGUUUGUAUAAGUGGGAGUAUAAUAUAUGUGACAUUAACGUUAUACAACUACAUUUACAGUUUCAAUGAUCAUUUUAGAAGCAACUUUUGUUAAUAAGAUUCGUUCUUCUAAAAUUUUGAAGAUUUUUGAGGCUGCCAAAGUGGUAAAGUUAACUUGAAAAAAACCAUUUAAAGCCUUUAUUCAUUAAUAACUCCAAAAUAAACUGUUCACCCUGAUGAAUAGAUAUAACUGCAUCCUAGGAAGAUCUUGUCUUGCUCAAGGGACUUCAGAUAAGGUACAUGUGGAGGUUUUUUUUUUUGGUUAGUAAUAUGGUUAUGCAUAAGGAUUUAGAACUUUUUCCUUUCUUAUUUAGAAAGCACAAACCUUUGGUGUCAUAAUUUUAUUUUUUAAAAAAUUCAAGAAUUUGACCUUGUUCUUAAAGCUCUGACUCAUGAAAAUAAUGAGUGUAAUUUCAGAGUUGUGAUUGUUUUAGUUCGGAAAUAUAAAACAAUAUUUUUUUCUUGUUUUGGCAAGUGACCUUUUUAAUAAAAUGAUACGCAGUUUUUCUGCUUUUAGGGACUAAUUGAAGAAUAUGUAAUUUGAAACCUGAUGACAAUAUAUUCAUUGUGCAAUUUAUGUAAGUGUUCCUAAAUUUGGUUCUUUUCUUACUGAACUUUUUUUAAAUUGUGCUUUAAGUGAAAGUUUACAGAUCAAGUUAGUUUCUCAUACAAAAAUUUAUACACAUAUUGUUAUGUGACCCUAGUUGCUCUCCAUGCAAUGUGACACCACACUCCUUUCAGCCCCGGGUUUCCUGUGUCCAUUCAACCAGCUCCUGUCUCUUUUUGCCUUCUCAUCUAGCCCCCGGACGGGAGCUGCCCAUUUAGUCUCAUGUAUCUACUUGAACUAAGAAGCACACUCUUCGUGAGUUUCAUUUUAUAUCUCAUAGUCCAGUCUAAUCUUUGUCUGAAGAGUUGGCUUUGGGAAUGGUUUUAGUUCUGGGUUAACAGAGAGUCUGGGGGCCAUGUCUUCCGGAGUUCCUCCAGUCUCAGUCAGACCAUUAAGUCUGGUGUUUUUAUUAGAGUUUGGGUUCUGCACCCCACUUUUCUCCUGCUCCGUCAGGUACUCUCUGUUGUGUUCCCUGGUGGUAGCCUGGCACCAUGUAGUUCUUCUGGUCUCAGGCUGAUAGAAUCUCUUGUUUAUGUAGCCCUUUUUGUCUCUUGGGCUAAUAUUUUCCUUGUGUCUUUGGUGUGCUUGAUUGUCUAUUACUGAACUUCUUAACUUAUGAAUUAACAUUUAGCUUUAACUAAAUCUUAUGCAAUUUCCCUAGGAAAGAAAAGUAAAUUGUGUUUUUUAAAAAGAUAGGUAUUAUACCACAUUUGAUCAUACAAUUGUAAUAAUUUGACCUAGUUUUGAGUAACAAGAAGUAACUUGAGCAGUGACUGAUAAAGUAUUAGAAGUAAAGUAAUGAUGUAACUACCCACUGCCAUCGAGUCAAUUCUGACUCAUAGCGACCCUGUAGGGUAGAGUAGAGUUGCCCCAUAGAGUUUCUAAGGCUGUAAAUCUUUAUGGAAACCAACUGCUACAUCUUUCUCUCAGGGAAUCACUAGUGGUUUCUAACCACUGACCUUUUGGUUAGCAGCCCAGCACUUGAACCACCACACCACCAGGGAUCUUUAGAAGUAAAAUAAUGAUGUAACUAGAUAAGUAAAUUCCUGCUUUAUUGCUGGCUUCUAGAACAAGACCAGCCUUAAACUCAUUCCUGCUUGUAGAAAGUAUUAUGAAUGACAAUUACCAAGGCUUCUCAUUUUGUUACAUGAUUUUUUCAACAUAGUUUUAUUUUCUACAGAGUGAUUUAAAUUCAAAGUCAGAACCCUCUAGUUCAUUAAAACUAAGACCUUAGCAGGUGAGACCCUUGCUUUUGACAUUUCAUUCUUAUCUCUAUAAAAAAUAGGUAAUAUUCAGGAUCCCGUUGCGGCAGCACUGCUUUUCCCUCCACCCAGUUUCUCUCUGAACUUUUUUCAACAAAAGUAGCAGGAAUUGUUUCAUUUAUUAAUAUGGUAUCAGACUCCUUAAUCCUACUACAGAAGUAAUUAAGGCACCAAACAAUGCUAAGUGGAAAAGGAUUAAGGAACACAUUAGUUGCACAGAAGAGGAAACAAAUAUGUCUUUCAUUCUUGCAGUCAUUUCAUGGAUGCUUCCUACAUGCCAGCCAAGGUGAAUAUAGUGGUGACAGGCUGACUGGGACCCUGCCUACAUGCAGCUUACAGUCUAAGUGGAAAACAUAGGAAAAAAAAAAAAAAGUAGAAAACAUAGACAAUAGAUAAAUAUGCAUAUAAAUAAAUCAGAUAAUUAUAGAAGAUAGAAGGUGUUGUAGAAGCAGGUUAACAGGAGGAUAUGUAAUCUCUGGGAAAUGGCAUUUCUGUUUAAGGAAAUAAUAAAUUUUUUGUUCUGUACUAUUUAGUCCAACUGGCCAACUCAGUUCAUUACUUAAAACACUUCUUGGGAGUUGGAUUUAUCUCUAGAAAGAUUCAUGAUAUUAUCACUGAGACAGUUUAUCCCUCCCACAAAUAUUGAGUGCCUGUUGAGGUCACUAUAAGUCGGAGUCGAUUCAGUAGGUACAAACGGUUAACACACUCAGCUACUAACUGAAAGGCUAGAGGUUCAAGUCCUUGGAAGAAAGACCUGGUCAUCUCCUUCUGAAAACACCCAUUGAAAACCCUGUGGACCACAGUUCUACUCUGACACACAUGGGGUUGCUGUGAGCCGGAAUUGACAUUACAGCAACUGGUUUUGAGUAUAUUUUAAGCUCCCUCUAUGGAGAACAAAACAGUAAAAUUUCUCAUUGACUUUGCCAUUUGUUCUCUACUCCUGACCCAUGCCAUGGUAUUUUCAGUUACCUCCUAUGCAUGUGAAAGCUGAAAAAUUAGUAAGGAAUAAUGGUGUUGGCAAAGAAUAUUGAAUAUACGUACCAUGGAUUGCUAAAAGAAUGAACAAAUAUGUCUUGGAAGAUGUAAAGCCAGAAUGCUCCUUAGAAGCCAGGUUGGCAAGACGUUGUCUUGCUUACUUUGAACAUGUUAUCAGGAGGGACGAGUCCCUGGAGAAUGACAGUAGAGGGUCAGCGAAAAAAAGGAAGAAGCUCAAUGAGAUGGAUUGACACAGUGGCUGUAACAAUGGGCCCAAACAUAGCAAGGACUGUGAGGAUGGUGCAGGACCAGGCAACGUUUUGUUCUGUUAUACAUGGGGUUGCUAUAAUUUGGAACUGAUUCGUCGACACUUAAAAACAACAGUGAGAAAACUUGCCCUCAGAAAAACUGUCUGGAAAACUUCUUUUCUCACAGAAGAAAGCCUUCAGGGGAGGAGACUUAUGGGCAUGGAGUCAGAGCGAUCUCACUGUGGAAAUUUACGUAUACAUUUGUACACUUCAUCAAGCUUCAGAAACUGUAACAAAAGGAGUGGUCAGAGAGUAAGAUUUUGGAAUUACUCAUGCCUGGGUUCAAAAUCUAUCAUCAUAUUAUCCUAGCUUUCAGACCUUAGCCUAUUACUUAAUCUCUCAAUCCUUAGUUUCCUAUUUGGACUGUAAAAUGAUGGCAAUAAAAACUUUUUUAUCAGGUUGUUGGGAGGAAUAAAUGAGUAUAUGGUAAAAAUAUGUAAUCAUUGUGAUCAUUAACUAAUAAUGGCAAAUAACAGGAAUUAUGGUUAAUAUGUUGAUCUUAAGUGAAUAGAGGGAAAAAGACUGGGGGCUGGAAAACUCCCAAUCAUCUGUCAAGCAUUUUGCCAUGAAACCAUAGAGUUUUUGUAUCUUAGGAGCAUGGGGCCAUUUACUGUAGUAUUUCAAACAAAGAAGUCACACGGCCUUGAGAGAUGAAGUGGAACCAUGAACUGGAUUUUUAAAUCGAUAUAAUUCAGAAAAGGGUCAAGGAGGAUUUCCACAGAAAAAUAGCAGAAAAAAUGGUUAGCACUUAGUGAACACUCAGAUUUACAGGAAGUUACACACAUCCACAAACUCAUACCUGCAGGCCCAAACACAUACAUGAUUUUAGGGGACAUUUUCAAUGUUUGUUUUAACUUUAAAUGAUUCUGCUAAUGUUUAAUACUAAAACUUUGUAGGGAGUUUCUCUUUCUCUUUACUACCACCUCAGUUGUAUCAGAAAUGUAAUGAAAAUGAAUUAGUAGGAAAACAUGAAAAAGCUAUGUUGUAGGAAAUUAUGUCUAAUUAGUGUAAUGCAAGGAAAUUCCAAUUUAAUAGCUGUUAGUAAAGAAAAAAUGAAUGUAAAAUUUGGAACUUUUUAAAGACUCUUGGUAGAUAUUUAAAAAUUGUUGGCUUUGUAUGUCAGAUUACCUAUGUCUUAGGCUGGGUUCUCUAGAGAAGCAAAACCAGUGUAGUGCGCACGUGUGUUUGAGUAUACAUAUAGAGAGAUACAGAAUGAGGGAGACAGAGAGAGAGAGAGAGAUUUAUCUCAAGGAAAUAGCUCAAAUGGGUGUAGAGACUGGCAAGUCCCAAGUCCAUGGGUCAGACUUCAGGCUGGAAGCUUCUCCUGACUCACAUAGCUGUAAGGGCUGAAGAACCCAAGAUCCACACGUCAGACAGGAGGCUGCUGGCUCAUGGGCUGCAAAGGCUGAUGAUUCCAGUAUCAGCAGGUAAGAUGGUAGGCUGCUGGCUCAAGUCCCAAGAACCAGAGGUCACAUGUUGACCAGCCAAAUGCAGGAUCCAAAGCAGAGCAAAAGCCAGCAAGCUUUGCUAGAAAGUUCACGUAUAUUGGAUGCAAGCUAUAUGCCCAAAGAAGCUUCCUUUCAACUGAUUGGCUAUUCACAGCAGAUCUCAUCAUGGAGGUGAUUACAUUAUAUCAGCUGUCAUCGUGGAGGUGAUUGCAUUAUUACCCAUCUGCCAAACUACAUCAUAAUUGCCAAACCUCUGAGAACCAUCACCUAGCCUAGUUGACACACAACCUUAACCGUCACAGUCCACCCCUUUUCAACUUGACACCUGUACACAUUUCCUUAAACCAUACAUAAUCCGUAAAGACAAUUAUAAAGUCAUACUUGCACCUAACAUGGUAGCACUAACACAUGUACAACUGAAAAUGCACAAGGCUUGCUUACAUCUUGUAUUUCAUAAGUGAAGAAAGCAAAAAUAUUUGAUGCUUACAUACAAGGAAGAAAUACUCAUAACAAUCAGAACUGGUCACGUGGCCAUAAUUGGUAUUUAGAACUGCCAUCUUCCACCAUCUAUUCUGUAUUCCCUUUACCCUCAGCAAGCACCUCAGCCUGGUGGGGUGACCCAAACCUUCAUUCCUGAAGAACCUGAACCAUUAGUAGUCAUGUUAGAAUUGGGUUGCUGUAGUUUUCCAUUGACUUUAAUCACAGGGCAUCAUAGUACUAAGAGAUGACCUAAGGGAUCACCUGUAUUUCAGACAUACUCUCCUUUACCUCCAGCAUGUAAUAUCAGUUUGAUUUCUUCUUGGUAAUCAGGAUCAAUCACAUCAGCCAAUACUGUACUUCCCUUCUUUGCCUAUUGAUCCAGAGACAUAGGGAGCCCAAAGUGGCUAGGUGGCAUUCUUACCUUCCAGUUCAAUGGCAUCAGUGUUGUGUCUCCUGGUGGGAGCAUUCCUCCCUUUGGAACUAAGAAUUCUAGACCUGCAGAGCCUAGGGUCUUGGGGUCGGAAGUAAAAAUCUUAUGAGUGGGUCGCUACAGGUAAUGGUGAGUGGUGGCACACUCAUUUCCAUCCCUUCCUGGACCCAUGAAUCCUGGCUAUGGGAGAAACAGCAGCAUAUAUCGGACAUUGGUUUAGAGCAUAUACUGCCUCUGUGAGAACGUGGCCCCAUCCUUGCAAGGUAUUGCCACCUAGCUAGUGCAGUAAUUGUAUCUUCAGAAGGCUGUUCAGCAAGCUAGCUGCACCGAUAAGUGCCCAGAGGCACCCCCUUCCACUAGGAAGUCUCCUGCCUGAAGGCACUCACCUCUUUUGCUCCGUGGAUUGGCUCCUGUGCCAUCUCGUGCCAGUUUUCCUGGUUCUGCUACUGCUGUUUCUCUACUGCUACUUCUUGCCAUCUGUGCUGUCUCCAGUGUUACAGCUCUCCUCAUUUCCUUCUGAUCUGUCAGCAGAACUGUCUUUGAUGUUCAUAAUUCCACCAGCAGUCUCUUCAAGGUAAUCUAGGCUUUUGCAUUAGGCACUUUAAACUCUUUCAGCCUCUACCCAUUAGUUGGUUCCAAAACUGCUUUCACAUUGUAGGUAUUGUUUAGAGCAGCACCCCACUCUUGGUACUAAAUUCUGUCUUAGUUAAUCUAGUGUUGCUAUAACAGAAAUACCACAAAUGGAUGGAUUUAACAAACAAAUUUAUUGUCUAGUAGUUUAGGAGGCUAGAAGUUCAAAUUCAGGGCACCAGCCCCAGUGGAAGGCGUUCUCUCUCGGUUCUGGGGGAAGGUAAUUGUCAUCAGUCUUCCCCUGAUCUAGGAACUUCCCAGCACAGAGACCCUGGGUCCAAAGGACACACUUUGCUUCCAGUGCUUCAUUCUUGGUGGUAUGAGGUCCCUAUUCCCUGAUUCUCUCUUUUAUCUCUCUUUUAUAUCUAGACAGAGAUUGACUUAAGGUGCAGCCUAAUCCUGUAGAUUGAGUUCUGCCUCAUUAACGUAACUGCCUGUAAUCCUGCCUCAUUAACAUCAUAGAGGUUAGGAUUUACAGCACAAAGGAUACUCACUUCAGAUGACAAAAGUGGUGGACAGCAACACAAUACAGGGAAUCAUGGCCUGGGCAAGUUGAUAAAUGUUUUUGGGGACACAGUUCAAUCCAUAACAACCUCUAAAUUGCUAAUUGUUCCAAGUGCUGCUUCUACUUUUCAUUUUUAGUUGAAAGUUUAGAAUGCUGAGGAAGUAAGGCUUUUCAUUACCUCUUCUAUACAAAUGUUUGUUCUUGGGGAAAAGGCAGACAUGUCCUAGAUUCAGCAUUUGAACAGGAGCAGUUCUCUGCAUUAGACAGGCAAGAGCCCUGAGAUUCAGAGUGUAGGGGCUUGCCUCAGACCAACUAACCACCUUGUCAUACAGGGACCAGAAUGGUGUACAAAGCCCCACUGUCUUAGUCACAUGAAGACUUUUUCCACUACGCAUGUCUUUUUUGUGGGGGAGAAAAACAUCUAAGAAACAUGGAUCCCUUUGAUUUUUUUAUUUCUAUUUUUUUCAGUUUUAGAAACUAAGCAGUCUACUUAUUGUAAAAAAUAACACUGAAUAAAGGAACUUAGGUUUCUUAAUUUUUCAUUUUGGAAAAGAUACAAAAUCUGGGAGUAAAAUCAUGGUCUUUUUUCUCAUAUUGGUGGAAAGAGUGAAGAAAAAAAACUAAAACUGUAGCAACAUUCUGUAGAGGACUUUGAAUUUGCUUUAUUGUCAGUGAUCAAAACGGAAAGUUUAUUUAGUUUUGCAUUUCAGCUCAGAAAAUUUCUUUCCAGUUAAUAUUGUGCUUGUUUUUAGUCUCUCUCGAUUUUAUUUUCAAGUUCAAACCUACUAACUGCCCCAGCCUUUAAUUUAUGGCACAUCUUCCAUGGCCAUCUCAGUGAAACAUCGUUUUUUGACAUCAUCUUUGAAAAUCUGGGUUUUUCAGGUCCACUUGUCUAAGAGCAUGACCUUGUCAGUGACAUUGUCUUGAUUCUGCCUGCAGGCAUGCCUACCAGUUUUUUAGUAAUUUGUUUCAUCACAGCUCUUAUUUAUUCUCUCCACAUCUUAUGUGGAUCUAUUACAAUACUGAAGUUUGGGAAAAAUCUACAUAAAAUUAUUUUGAAUUACCUGUAGUUUGGUUUUUGAGUUAAGCACUAAAUCAAAAGUAAUGAAGUCGCAGGAAGGAGAAGAUGUAAGAUCUGCUGUGGUCGUUGUUAGCUGCCAUUGAUCCAGCCCCUGACUGAUUCCUGGCGACCUUAUGUGUUACACAGCAGAACUGCUCCACGGGGUUUUCUUGUCUGUCACCUCUGCGGAAGCAGUUCACCAGGCCUUUCUUCUGUGGAGCCACUGGGUGGGUUCAAACUGCCAACCUUUAGGUUUGCAGCCAAUCACAAACCGCGUGUGCCACCUAGGCUCCUGAUCCACUGCUGCACAGAAUUCUUUUCUUUUUUUUUAAAGUCAAAUUUGCAAGCAUGCUCUCUAGUAGUGGGUAAGCUGACUUGGUGUUGGUUCAGUGCGUGUGUCCAGGUAUAUCCAAGAUUUGGUGUCAUAAGAACACUUAACCAUUGUCUAUAAAAUUAUAACCCCUAUAUUACGCAGAGCUCCAUGAGAAACAAGAAUCCAGUUGUGAUAAUGGCAGUAAAUUUGCUAGUGUCCAGGGGUUAGUGCCUCAACAUUUCACGACUUCUCUUGUAUGAAGGAUUCUGUAUUAGACACUUAAGGCUUUUCCAUCCCACUCAAAUUUUAUAACAGUCUGAACAUUCAUUCUAUUUCUGAUUGCUUUUUUAAUGUGACAAUUUAGUAUUACAUAUGUGAUUUGCAGUAUAUGUCUUUUGGUCAGUGCUGCUUUAAAAUAGCAAUGCUUGCAGAGUGUUUCAAAAUGGUUUUUGAAACCUAGAUUUGUUGAUUUGUUUGCAGAGUUAUGAGCUUGUGUACAAGGUUGUGUAAAUUUAGUGCUAGUUCACGAUUAAUAAUUUAUUUUCUCAUAAAGUAAAGCUUUAACAUUGCAUAUUGGAGGAUGGAAAUGACUUCUCACACACCUGGACUUCUGCCAGACUUCACAGGAUAAGGGCACAGUCCUCCAUAAGAGUGUCUUACUUUAGACACCAACGACAAGAUCAGAGGUCCCUAGGCCGGGUUCACUUCUGGCCAAAAAAAAAAAAAAAUAGCUGGCUACAAAUUUGGAAGCUCCCAUUACCCACUCAGGUUCAGUCAUUUUCUAGAUGAUUCAUAGAACUGAGGAAGGUGCUAUACUUACUGUUACAGUUUUAUUAUAGUAAAAGGAUACAAAUCAGAAUCAGCCAAAGGGAUUAAUGCAUAGGGCAAGGUCUGGGAGGUUCCCAAACUUAAAGCUCCUGUUCUCCAUAGGGACGUGUCACCCUUAUGGCACAUUGUUGAAUGACAGUGUACAGAAUAUUAUCAACCAGAGAAGCUCAUCCAAGCCUCAGUGUACAGAGUUUUUAUCGGAGUCUCAUUACAUAGACAUGAUUGAUGGAAUCACUGGCCACAUGAUUGAACUCUAGUUGAAUCUCGAGCCUCCCUCCACUCCUCAGAAGUUAGGCUGAUAUCACCUGGCUCAGAAAUCCAGCCCUCUAAAUCAUAUGGUAAUCUUUCUGGCCCAGCCAGACCCUUCCAGAAUCAUCUUGUUCGCAUAAACUAGCUGGUGUGGUCUGAGGAGCUCACCAUGAACAGCAAAGACACUGUAGUCACUCGUGAAAUUGCAGAGGCUUAGAGGUUGCAUCCCAGGAACUAGGGACAAAUUAGCCACAUUCUUUAUUACACAGACAGAUGUGACACUUAUGAAUGGAUGAACUUCAGACUGGCCAAAGCAAUGCCUUUACUGCCUUCCCCAUCAUCUUCUCAACAUAGGUGGAGACUAUUGUAAACACUGGAAAAGAUUUGGUGGAAAUUUUAGUCAUCUGACUUUAAAAAAAGUAUUACUUUAAAAUUGGGGUAUUGACAAAGUAACAUUGUACAGGGGUUUGUUUUGAGUCUCUCUUAUGCAUUGAUGAGCUUCAUGAUCUGCACUGAUGAGCUUUGUGAAGCCAAAGUAAAUCAAAAGGGGCUUAUUCCUUUGAGUUUUACUGGCUGCCUUAAUUAUAGGAGAGCAACCACAGUAGCUAAUUGGCUGGCUUCUUUUUAAAUUGUAAUUACCUAAAGUGUCAAGGAGUGAGAUAAGGAAAAUACUAAUUUUAUAAAGAUAUCUGACUUAUUUUUAGUUAACUGGGCCCGUUUUAAUUUUAAAAUCAGUGCUGCAAUAAACAAAGCAAGGACUGGGAACAAUUGUAUAAGAAAUUAUUUAUUGAAAAUGACAUUUUUAAAGCAAGUACUUUUAUUACUUUCAGCAGUAGUUUACUGAUUAAUACAGUUGCUCAAUCUCAGGCAACUUUUCUGAGGAGAAUGUGUGAUCUUAGAAGUAAAAGAUGAAAAGGACAUGGUGAUGGUGUUUGGUCAAACGUCUAGGCGCUAUUUCUGUAAUAUCUGGCUCAGCUGUGGAAGGUAAGGGGGAGUCAGGUUACUGACAAAAAAUUGAAGGAAUAAGAAACCUGAUUGGAGUACACCAAGGACGAAACCAAUGGAAGAACUGAAAACAAUUGAAGGUCUGUAAAUAUAAUGUAAACAGUGCAAAGAUGAUAAAUUAAGAAGAUAUAAAUGAUAGAGAAAUAGCCGCCAGAAGAACUAAAAAUAUGUUUAAGAGAAGUUGGUGGGAUUCAGCUAUGACUUGAUUUUCGUCAUAAACUUGUGUGUAAAAUUUAAUUUGUCUGUAUUUCUCUGAUAUAUAUUUUUACUUUGGUCUACGGUAGGGUUUCUUAAAAUGUGGUUCAGGGUUCCCCUGCAUCAGAAUUAUUGAAAUGCAUGCAAGAUGCAGAUUCCCAAGUUCCACCUCAAAGCAACUGAAUCAUGUUUUCUGGGCAUGUGGCCUGGAAACCUGGUUUUAAUUUGCUUCCCCAUGGACUCUUAAUGAACUGUAAAGCGCAAGAACCUCUAGGAGGGUAAAUUUUUUGAUGAAUGUAAUUACUGCACAGUAUUUCAGUAAAAAGUUAAUAAAUGCAUGUUGCAGUAGAAGUUUGUUAUGAUUGGCAUCAUAUACAAUUUGAACCAGCCCUGUACAGCAUAAUAUUGGGAUUUACAAAAUGUCAUUUUGAUAGUGGUGAUGGGGGACUGCCUAUUCCUCUGCCAGGUAUUCUGUAUCAGUAAGAUUAUUGGCUCCAUACUUCUCAGCUGUUGGGGCUAAGCGAGUCUUUUCUUGGUGUUUUGUAAUUGCAGCAUUGUGGGCAGCACCUAGAGGUAUUAACCCUAAACAAAGUGUUUUUCACUGGGAUGGUUGUAUCUGCUCUGAUCAUAUCAGGGAUGGUAUCCUUGUCUUAGAGAACUCGUGGUGCAAUGGUUAAGUACUUGGCUGCUAACUGAAAGGCUGGUGGUUUGAACCCACUCAGUGGUUCCAUUGGAGAAAGAUCAAGCAAUCUGUGCGGUAAAGAUUACAGCUGAGAAAACCCUAUGGGGUAGUUCUUCUCUGUCCCAUGGGGAUGCUAUGAGUUGGAAUUGACUGGACAGCGCCCAACAACAACAUUCUUGUCUCAGCCAGGUUGAGUUACCAAAUAGACAUACCUUAGACACUGUAUCAGCUGUUGUAUUUUGACAGCAAAUAGCAGAAACCAGGUCUCAAACAGGCUUAAGUAUGAAGGGCAUUUAUUAUCUCAUAUUACUGGAAGGCCACGGCUACAGUAAGCAUCAGUCAGGACAAGUCAGGGGCUAAGUGAUGUCAUCAAAGAACCUAGUUAUGUUGACUUUGUCCUAAGGCUGGUUUCCCUCCUCAUUUCAAGAUGGCUACAAUUAGCAGUUAGUACCUUGCAUGCUUCCUUAUUCCGGUUCAGCAGAAAGAGUGGAUGAAAAACUUGUCAUCCAGGCAAGGCAUUUAAGUCCUUUCCUUCAUUAUGAUUGGCCAGUUUGGAGCCAGAAUGGGAUCAUCUUACUGUGAGUGUAAAGGGACGGAGGAAUAGAUACUUGGAAGAAAAAUUUUGUUUUUGCUUUUUGUUUUGUUCUGGUUAUUACUUUAUUUUUUUUGGAAGGAAGAAAGGACACUCUAGGCAACUAACAUGUCCACUAUAAAGAUAUUUUAAUGUAUUUCAUUGAGGGGUAUUACUGGCAGUUUAUAAAUUGAAUAAUGCAAACUUUGUGAAUAAAUGAUACCCAAACCCAGUGCACAUAAUAAUUGUUGAACUACCUCCUGAAAGGUUGAACAUCGACCAGUUCUUUUUGAUACAGUGGUUCUGUGUAUUCCUUCCAUCUUCUUUUGAUGUUUCCUGCAUCAUUCAAUAUUUUGCCAGUAGAAUCCUUUGGGAUGGCAAUCCAAGGCUUGAAUUUUUUCUUCAGUUCUUUCAGCUUGAGAAAUGCCAAGUGUGCUCUUCCCUUUCGGUUUUCUAACUCCAGGAGUUUGUACAUUUCAUUAUAAUAUUUUAUUCUGUGUUCUUGGGCUGCCCUUUGAAAUUCUCUGUUCAGCUGUUUUUUUCUUCAUCAUUUCUUCCAUUAGCUUUAGCUACUCUACAUUCAAGAGCAAGUUUCAGUCUCUUCUGAAAUCCAUUUUGGUCUUUUCUUUCUUUCCUGUCUUUUUAAUGACCUCUCACUUCAUGUAGAUGUCCUUGAUGUCAUCCCACAACUCUCCUGGUCUUCGGUUAAUAGUGUUCAGUGCUUCAAAUCUAUUCUUGAGACAGCCUCUAAAUUCAGAUGGGAUAUAUUCAGGGUCAUACUUUGAACUUGCAUAUGAACAAUUGGUGGUCUGUUCUGAGGUUGGCCUCUGAACUUGCUGUGACUGAUAUUGAGCUUCUUCAUAGUCUCUUUCCACAGAUGUAGUUGAUUUGAUUCUUACGUAACCCAUCCAGUGAGGUCCAUGUGUAUAGUCCUUGUUUAUGUUGUUGAAAAAAGGUAUUUCUGAUGAAUAAGUCAUUGGUCUUGCAGAAUUCUACCAUGUAAUCUCCUGUGUUGUUUCUAUCCUCAAGGCCAUAUUUUCCAACUGCUAAUCUUUCUUCUUUUCAAACUUCGCAUCCCAGUCACCAGUAAUUAUCACUGCAUCUUGAUUUAAUGUUUGAUCAAUUUCAGACGGUGGAAGUUGGUAAGUAAAAGUAUUUGAUUUCUUCACCUUUGGCAUUUCUUCAUUCUUUGGAUUUCUUCAUUUUUGACCACUUUGAAUUUUCCUUGAUUCAUCCUUGAUUGAUUCCAUGUUCCAAUUAGCUAUUAUCGCAUGCAAGCAAAAUUUUGCUGAAGAUAAUUAAAUUGGCUGCAACAGUACAUGGACAGGGAACUGCCAGAAAUUCAAGCCAGAUUCAGAAGAGGACAUGGAACAAGGGAUAUCAUGCUGAUGUCAUGUGGAUUGCAGAGAAUACCAGAAAAUUGUUUAACUGUGUUUCAUUGACUAUGCAAAGGCAUUUGACUCUCUGAAUAAUAACAAAUUAUAGAUAACAUUGCAAAGAGUGGGAGUUGCAGAACACUUAAAUGUGCUCAUGUCGAACCUAUACAAAAACCAAGAGGCAGUCAUUCAAACAGAACAAUGGGAUACUCUGUAGUUUAAAAUUGAAGUACAAGGUUAUAUCCUUUCACUAGACUUAUUCAGUCUGUAUGCUUAGCAAAUAAUCAGAGAAGCUGGACUAUAUGAAGAAGAAUGUGUCAUCAGGAUUGGAGGAAGAUGCAUGAACAACCUGCAAUAUGUGGAUGACACAGCCUUGCUUACUGAAAGUGAAGAAGGCUUGCAGCAUUUACUGAUGACGAUCAAAGACUACACGUAGCCUUCAGUAUGGAUUACACCUCAACAUAAAGAAGAUAAAAAUCCUCACAACUGGACCAAUGCAACAUCAUGAUAAAUGUAAAAAAAUUCUGUAUUAGUUGUCAGUGUUUCGUUUUACUUGGUCAGCAGUCAGGGGCCAGGGAAGCAGCAGUCAAGAGAACAGAUUUGCAUUGGGCAAAUCUCGUAAAAAGACCUCUUUAAAAUCUUUAAAAGCAAAGAUGUCACUUUGAUAUUUAAGGUGCCCUUGACGCAAGUCAUGGUCUUUUCAAAUCUGCUUUGGAAGAAGUACAGCCAAAAUGCUCUUUAGCACUGGGCAGUCUUUGAUCAGGAGGAUUAGAUAAAGAUUUUUGAAGGAAAGUGAAAACCGUAUGUAGUGGCACUGAGAACUGAAGAUGUGGCCUCUUUGAGAUAAUAUAAGUACUUCAUUUUGUCCUGAGAAAAGGACCAAGAGGAAAGUGAUAAGAGAUUAGGUUAGACAGAUACUUUUGGAAUGUCUAAAUUUUUAAGAUUUCUUGAAUUUAAGUUUUAUAUGUAUUGAUAUAUGUUCAGGGUAUACUUGUUUGUGGUGUGGACCAGAGUAUUUUUAUCCUUUAAAAUUUUGAAUUUUAGUUUAGAUUUAGAAUCCUUAUUAAUUCAAGACCGUUGACUCUAAUAAUAUCUACAUUUACUGAAACAGAUUCUCAUUAUUCACAUUGCCGUGUCUUCAUUGCAUCUAUGUAAAAUAAUUCUCUAAUGAUACUAGCUCUAUUCAAAGAAGAGUAUGGAAUUGGAAUAAAAUUAGUAAUGAAUCAUUAUAUUCAAAAUGAAGACCCUAUAUUUUGAGCACAGCAUACCAGAAACACCUCUUUUCCAUAACACAUGGUAUGUAUCUACUUUUAAAUCUUUGAAUUACCUGCAGUUCAUGUCACUGUAGUGGCAUCAUCCUGUUUCCACUACUAUAUUGUUUCAAGUUGGUCUAGGUACGUGUUCUGUUAUUUUCUAACCAUGUCUCUCUUAUGUUAUAACCAAGUCACAGAAAAAUAAUUAGUGAACAUAAUAAUCUUAUCUCUAAGAUUAAGUAGAUAUCAACACUCUUUCCACAUUUGUUUUAGAUAACUUUUUUUCAAAAGAAAUAAAAUGUUACAGAUACAGCUAAAGCUCUUCAUUUCUUUCCAGAGGUAAUCACUGUUCUGUAGUUGUUGAAGAUCAUUUACAAGUAUAUUUUUAUACUUUCAUUACACAUGUUUCAUACAUGUAUGGUUUUGCAGCAUAUAUAUCUCAUUGUAAAUUGCAUUUUUGCUAUUUGAGAUUUGCCUAUAGACAAACGUCGAUCUAGUUCAUUCAGUUUAAUGGGUUCAUUUUUUAUUGUGUGAACAAACUACAAUUUAUGUACUCAUUCCUAUACUGAGGGAUGGUUAGGAAAUUUCCACUUUUUAAUUAUUUUGCACAGUCUUUCAGUGAACAUCAUUGUACAAUUCCUGAGUACUUGUAAGGAGCCUAGUGGCGCAGUGGUUAAGCGCUUGGCUGCUAACCAAAGGCGGUUCUAACCCACCAGCUGCUCUGAGGGAGAAAGAUGGGGUAGUUUGCAUCCUUAAGGAUUACAGUUUGGAAACUCUGUGGGGCAGAUUUACCAGGUCCUGUAGGGUUGCUAUUUUGUAGGGUUGCUAUGAGUUGCUGUCCACUUGAGGGUAGUGGGUUGUAUACUUGUGCUGGAUUCUUUCUAGGGUAAAUUUUAAAAGUGGCAUUGUUGGAUUAAAAUAGGGGUAUACGCUCAACAAUUGCUCCGUAAAGUGGUUGUAUCAAUUUAUACUCCAGGCACAAAUGUAUGAAAAUCACCAUUUUCCCCAUUCUUGUGAAUAACAUUGUUAAUUUGUAUCAAUAUUAUUGUAUUAAAUCAUACCAUUGUUAUUUUAAUUUGCCUAAACUGAUUAUUAAUGAGCUUUUUUUUUUUUUGAGCAUUUUUAUGUUUAUCAAAAGUUUGGAAUGUUACUUCUGUGAAUUUUAGUUUCCUUUUUUUGCAUAUAUUUCAUUACGUUUUUAAUAUUUUUCCUAAUGAUUUUAGGAGUUCUUUAUAUAUUUUGGAAAAUGGAUUUUAUGGGGUGCAAAACUUCUCACUUGGUUUGAGUUUUCACUUUGCUUAUAUGUCAUAGUUUCUUUAUUACCAAUUUUCUUUCCUUCUACAUGCACAAUCGUUUAAUUCUCAUCCUAUAUGACUAUACCUGGGGCUCUUUAAUUGUAAACUACUUGUGAUGAUUAAUGUCAGAAGCAAGUCUACUUAAUAAUUUUAGUGGUUAAGAUCAGGGUUUUUAGAGUCCAAAAGUUUCCGUUUGAAUACAGGCUUUUCAUGAUCUUGGGUAAUUACAUAUUUUUCUAACAUUAAAUAGCAAUAAUAACUUGCAGUAAUACAUGUGUGCACCACACGCACACAUACACACACAGACAAAUAAGGUAAUGCUUGGAAGUGUACCCACAAUAGGUUCAAAUAAUAGAAUAAGAAUGAGGAAGAGGAGGAGGAGAGAAGUGGAACAGCAGGAACAGUACAAGCAAUUUUCCUUUUGUCAAAUACUGUAUGUUUUCAGAGUGCUAUUAUUUAAAUAAACCUGUUAAUCUGAGCAUUACGUAAUGCAGAUUUUAGUAGUCCAUUAGGAUCCUAACAUACAGUGAUUGAUUUCUGCAAUUUUCAUAUACUGAUACAUAUAUAUCUUGCUUACGAAAUCACUACUCAGGGGUUUCAUAAUUUAUACAAAAAUCUAUAUAGCUUCUUUUUUUAUUGGGCCGUCUUGUCUCACUGUCAGAUUUGCAUAUAUUUAUGUACUUCAUUAAAUCGAUAUGUUCUUUGUAAAGUGAUGUAAAAUAUUUUUAUGCACGUUUGUAAGAUCAUUGAUUUACUAAAUCAGAUACUUGUCAGACACGCCUCAGUGUAAAUUGUUGUUUAUAUGUAUAUAACAUAAGCAUAGUUCUUUAGACGGCAAACAUAAUUCAUCAUUCAAUGAAUAUAAGUAUGUGAUCAAUCAAUAGUUUAUCUCUCAAGGCCCAGACCUCGUAGGAAAGAAACUUUUGUGUGAUACAUGGAAAUUACAGUUGUUGAUCAUUUGAUCUUCCUGAGGUGUUUCUGCAUUUUGUAGGUGUUUUAAAUUUAGAUUUUCUUAUUUAAUUGUAAGAACUGAAUGGACUGACAGCUGCUAAGAAUAUGUGAUCUUUUUCUCAAAAGCUGUAUGGCAAAUUAUGAAGGUUUGAUUAAAUUUAUGAAGGGUUGAUUAAAAUUCUUAAGUCAUUAAAAAUAACCUUUAAAAAUCUGAUUACAAUUAUUUGAAUGCUGUUCAGGCUUACCCUUUGGAAGGUAUCCCAAUGGGAGAGAGAUCAUAAGACUACAUUCUGCUAGAGAGAGUGAGAGACAGAGAGAAUGAGAAUAUAUAUUCAGUGAUGAUUGUGAAAUGUACUUAGUGACCCUUCAGUAGAGAAAAGCUUUGUUUAGAUUUUGGCCAGAAAAAAAAUGACAGAGAGAAAAUUCCUAUUAAUACUUUUCUGGGGUUAAUUAUUAUGUUUUUAUUUCAUUAUACAUCAUUACUCUCCUGAAAUACUCCUUUUUCAGUUAUUUAAAGGUGCUAAAAUGAAAGCCCUCCACCAGCUCAUUAAUUAUAGGCACAUUUCUGCUACUGUUAGCACAGGGAGAUUCAUUUGCAUGCCUGGCUCAGCCUGCAGUAGAAAUAGAAUUUUUGGAAAUUGCAGGUUUCUUUGCUAGGUUUCUCUCUUCUACUGGCUUUUAUCUGUGUUUGAGAUGAUUUAUGGUGCAGUGGUUGCUGUUCCUUUAGAACUUUGUCAUCAGUAGUAAUAGAGAAGUAAUCUUUCUCAUUUAUAUUGUAUUGAAAAGAAAAUCUUUGAGUCAGAAGAACCAGAGAUUAGAAUGGAUUUCAUACUCGUAUAAAAUACCAAAGAGGUAUUUUAUAAGAGUACCUGGAUUUCACUGGGUCCUGCUGAUCCUCAUUUCUGGUCUAUUCUUUUGUUUUGGUGGGAAAGUUUUCAGAGAAAGAUAAGGAACAGCUUGCCUUUUUGUGCUCCUUUCUGUGUUCAAAUUUUUCUUGGAAUUCAUUCUCCUUUUGGAAAAUUUCAAUAUUUAAGUGCGACAGAUUUAGCAAUGUAACUCUGCUAUUGACUUUUCAAAAAGAACUCAGUUUUGUUGCCAUGUCUGCAGUCUACAUAUGUGAUUAAAAUUAAUUAUAUCUAAUAGGAUCUAGGAGCCCUGGUCGCUCAGUAGUUAAGUGCUUGGCUGCUAACCAAAAGGUUGGCGGUAUGAACCAGCUGCUCUGCGGGAGGAAGAUGUGGCAGUCUGCUUCUGUAAAGAUGUACAGCCUUGGAAGCUCUACGGGGCAGCUCUGCUCUGUCCUGUAGUGUCGCUCUGAGUUGGAAUCGACUCGUCAGCCAUGGGUUUGGUUUUGGUUUUUAAUAGGUUCUGGUUUAUAGGGUUGCUAUGAGUCAGAAUCGACUUGAUGGCAACAGGUUUGGUUCGGUUUGGUGGUGUAAAUGAUUUACCUAGCCUUAUCUUUCUCUCUCUUUUCCCCAACCCCCUCCACAGACUAUGUGUGUGUACAUUCAAAUAUAUAUCUGAAUUUCCUAGCCUCAGCAUAAAUUUACAAAGGUACCUUUUAGAAAGUGAAUUGUUACUUAUCAUCUGUAAAACGACAUCUUAAUCGUCCUCUGCUAAAUACAGCUAUGUUAUUAUGAACCUUUCCUCUCUCAUCUUACCUCUGCAAAUCUUGGUCAUUUGGCCAAUUGUAGAGCUAACUCUUUUGACAUCCCACCUUACCCGCAUUUCAGACAUUGUUGUCUAUCAGGUAUCCAUUCCUGCCUUUUUUCACGCACAGAGAAAAACAGUAUUGUUCAAGAAAUCACUCCUUAGUGAAAAUGGCAAGGUAAAAGUAUCUCUUACGUACCUUCCCCUUCCUCCCCCCACCUUGAUUGGCUCAGAGCUGGUUAUGGGACCCACAUCUGGCCACUGAAACGUGAGGAGUCUGCUGUGAGGCAUCUGGGACUGACCCCCAUGCUCUUAAGAAGGAAACAUAUAGGAAGCCUCUUGUCCUUUAGAAAUUCUUAUGUCUGGUUAUAAUGCUUGCAACCUCAGCAACCAGCUUGUAGCCACACAGGAAGAUAACCCAAAGGCGAAACUGGCAUCUAAGAAAGAUGGGGGGGAAAAAAAAGGGAGAGAAUUUGGGUCCUUGAUGACAUGGUUGAGCUACUGAAUUAAACAAUCGUGGAGCAUUCCUCUCUCCCCUUCCCAACACAACAAUUUCUGCACUUCAGUGUCUUUAUUUUUAAAGUCAUUUCAGUUUGGGUUUUUAACAGUUGCAGCAAAAAGCAUCCUUGGUGAAACACACCCCUGCUUUACCUUUUAUUUCCACUUUCUAUAGUGAUUUUUAACACUUGUUAACUCUACCUUUGAUUUUAAACCAGUGGAGUAAACCAAGUUAUUUUUAUAGCAUUACUGUGAUAAGGAUAAACCUUCAGAGAAACAAAUGCUAAAGGAUUUUUCUGCAGAAUUGAUUUACCUACUUCCCAAAGGAUCUCAUCACUUCUUGCCAGCCCUGACAAAAUAUUUAUGGUACAAUAUGAUUUCCUUCUUUAUCAAUUUUAGGAGGAAUACCUUCAUUAAUCUUCAUUUUAUUCAGGAUGGUUUGAGAAAGAUUAUAAAGUGGAAUGGCAGAAACUAAAUUAUCUUAUGUCCAAAAUAGUAAGAACACACAGAGCGUGCUGACCUUUGGUUAUUGAUUACCAUUUUGUAGACUUUUCCCACAGUUAUUCAUAUAAAAGUAGAUAUUUGACAUUUUAGGGAAGAAAUUCAGGAAGGUAUUCUAUUUCUCUAGAGUAAACAGGUACUGUUUUGUGAACCAUCUAUAAAAUGACAAAAUGAAUUGUUUGUGUUUCUGAUGCUUUGGUUACUCUUCUGUUGAUUAUAGACGCAAAAUAAACAGGAAUGUGUAUUCAGUUCCAUAUUCAUUUUAUGCUAAUGUCAUGCAAUAUUUUAUUGCAAGAAAUGUGCAAAAUGAUAUAGUCAAUAAAGAUUCUUGCUGAUACAGUCUGUCAGGUUUUUGAAUUAUUGUUCAUUAUUUCUUCACUCAUUCAAAAAACACUGAGGACCAAGCUCUAUAGGACAUCCUAAAUAUAGGAAGAUGAAGUCUCACCCUCAGGGUGCUCACAGGUCAGGGAAAAGCUAAAGAGGCAAACAUUAUUGUAUAUUAAGAUGUUAUCGGUAAGAUAAGUAUAGGAGUAAAGAAAGUGAGGAGGAGAAGAAAGAUAUUUUGGUAUAAGGACUGUUAAUAGAAAGUAGGGGGAAGUAAGGUGUUAGCAGUGAACAAAGCAAGUUGGGCAGGAGAAAGACAUAUAGGGCAUUUUAAGAAAUUCGAAUUCUAAUUAUAAGGGAGGCAAUUGGAAGAUUUUAAGCAGGGAAGUUACAUAAUUUGUAAAUAUGUAGUAAAUUAUGAAAUUUGUAAGUAGAUCACUCUGGCUUCUCUAUACAAUGGAUUAUUUGGAUGGGGCAAUGUUUUAUUCUGUGGUACAUGGGGUUGCCAUGAGUCAGAGCUUACCCAAAGGCAGUUCUCAACAACAAAGAUAGGGAAGUCUGGAGAAGACCAGGUUUAGGUAGAGAAUGAGAUAUCAGUCAACAGUUAGGUCAAAUAAAAUGUUAGAUUUCUAGUCUGGAGUUUAAGGGUAAGGACAGGGUAGGAAGGAUAGAUUUGGAAUUAAUUGGAUGAUGGCAGAUAGAGCAAAGAAGGGAUCCCAGGACUGAGCCCUGGAACACCCCCAUAAUUUAAAGGGCAAGCAAGAAGAUGGAUUCAGAAAUGGAGAGCUGGCACCAUAUGCAUGGAAACUGAGAGACAGGAUGGCUGGGACAGUGUAUUUUUCUUAACUGGGAUAGACACACUGGAUGCAGAUUUGCCUUCCCUGAAUGCAAUGCUUCUGCCAAAGCUACCAUUCGUGGACUGACAGAAUGCUUUAUUCAUUGUCAUGGUGUACCACACAGCAUUGCUGUGCAGCAGUGAACUCACUUCAUCGCAAAUGAAGUGUGGCAGUGGGCCCAUGGUCAUGGAAUUCACUGGUUUUCCCAUGUUCCCCAUCAUCUUGAAGGAGCUGGCUUGAUAGAACAAUGGAAUGAUAAUUCUAAAGACAAAAUUACAGUGCCAGUUACAUGGCAGUACCUCACAGGGUUGGGGCAGUGUUCUCACAGCGGUUGUAUGUAAACCAGCAUCCAACAUAUGGUGCUCUUUCUCCCAUAGCAGGAUUCAUGGGUCCAGGAAUCAAGGGCUGAAAAUGAAAUUGGCUUCACUCACUAGUGACCCACUUGCAAAAUUUUUCUUCCUGCCCCUGCAAUCCUAUGAGUCUAGAAGUCUUAGUUCCAACAGGAGGAAUGUACCUAAGAGGAGAUACAACACUGAUUACGUUGAACCGGAAGUUAAUAAUGCUACCUGGCUACUUGGGGCUCCUUAUGCCUCUGGAACAACAGGCAAAGAAGGGAGUUACCAUACUAGCUGGUGUGAUUGAUCCUGAUUACCAAGGGGAAAUCGGAUUGAUACCACAUAAUGGAGGUAAAGAAGAGCAUGCCUGAAAUAUAGGAGGUUCUUUAGGAUAUCUCUUAGUACUACCGUGCCCAGUGAUUAAAGUCAGUGGAUAAACCAUACCAAUCCAAUUCUGACGUGACUACUAAUGGCCCAGACCCUUCAGGAAUGAAGGUUUGAGUAACCCCACAGGGCAAAGAACCACGACCAGCUGAAGUGCUUGCUGAGGGCAAGGGAAAUACAGAAUGGGUGGUGGAAGAAGGUAGUUCUUAAUACCAUUUACAACCAUGUGACUAGUUGCAAUUGUUCUGAGUAUUUCUUCUUUGUUAUACGUGUGUGUGUGUGUGCAAGUCGGAAUAAGCUCAACAGCAGUGGGGUUUUUGUUUUUUUUUAAAGAUACGCAUGUAUAUGUAUACACACCUAUACCUCACUCUCGGCCAUCUCAUUAUCCAACGUUUCGUAUUUACGACAAUAGUAAAAAAUCUGCUAUUUGACUAUUUUGUGCAUUAACGACCUCACUGACCUGCACACUGUAGCAGCAUGCAGCUGGUCCAGGGUGUGUGGAGGAGUAGCACCCUCCCCUGGGUAUUUAAACCUAGCCUGGACACGGGUGCCCAACACUUCAGCUCCUCCCAGCUUGUGCCUCUGCUCCCUCCUCCUGGCUCUCUCUGGGCACGUCCCACCCUCCACUCUGGGCUUGCUUCUCACGCAGGCACACAGGCAUAGGCCAGUGGUUGCUAGGAGCAGGGCAUGGGCAGUCGCUUGUGGUGCCCAGCUUGCCACACCUUGUGCAUCAUGGAGCCCAAGCUCUAGCAGUCUGUAGCAUGCCAGUGAGCAGAGCAAGGGCAAGCCUUUGAGUGCUGCAGGUACAAGAGGGAGGGCUGGCAUUGGGGAGGCAGGGAGUGCUGGGGCCAGGAAGUCAAGAGUACUUGGCAUAAUACUGAUUUUUGCUUAAUGACCUGGUCUUUGGAACCUGACCAUGUUGUUAAGUGAGGAGUGUGUGUGUGUGUGUACUUGAAAACCAAACCCAUUGCAGUCAAGUCAAUUCCAACUCUUAGCAACCCUAUAGGACAGAGUAGGACUGCCCAAUGGAGUUUCCAAGGAGCACCUGAUGGAUUCAAACUGCCCACCUUUUGGUUAGCAGCCGUAGCGCUUAAUCACUAUGCCACCAAGGGUUUCCAUGUGUAUGUAUGUACAUAUAUAUAGCAAAUAUCUUUGUUUUCUCCCCUCCCUUAUUCCAGUACUUAUUAUAAAAUAUGUCAGUCAUGCUAGUGUGUUUUCAGUUUUAUGCAUGUUAGUUGUAUUACGUUAGGUGCAAGUAUGAUUUUAUAAUUGUCUUUAUUUACAGAUUAUGUAUGGUUUAAGGAGAUGCAUACAGGGGUCAAGUUGACAAGAGUGGACUGUGAUAGUUAAGGUUACAUGUCAACUUGGCUAGACCAUGAUUGUCAGUGGUUUGGCAUAUAUGAUGUAAUCAUCCCCCAUUUUGUGUCUGAUUUAAGCAGCCAAUCAGUUGAAAAGGAAGUUUCCUUGGGGAUGUGCUUGCAUCCAAUAUAUGUGGAUGUUCUGGCAAAACUUGCUGUCUCUCGAUCCUGCCCCUGACUCGACAUCCUCUGAUGUCUGUCUGGUUCUUGGGAUGUGAGCCAGCAGCUGCUGCCUGACCUGCAGAUUUUGGGUUUGUCAGCCUUGCAACCACAUGAGUCAAGAGAAGCCUCCACACUGACACCUGACCCUCAGAUUUGGAGCUUGCUAGCCUCCACAACUACGAGAGCCGUUUCCUUGAGAUCUAGCUAUCUAUCUAUAUAUGUACUUCACUGGUUUUGCUGCUCCAGAGAGCUCAGCCUAAGACAUUUGCUUAUAGAAGCCAAGAAAAUAAAAUGGUUCAGAAAGGGGAAGUUGUUAACUGUCCAGUGCUUUUGAGAGGUUAAUCAUAAAGAGAGAAGUGGCCAUUGGAUUUGGGAAUAUGUAGAUUCUUAUCUCAAUAAGAUCGAAGCGCAAUUUGAUUGGUUUGAAGACAAAAUGGGAGCUACAAAAGGGGAAAUAAUGACUAUGGGCAAUUCUUUCAAGAAAUACUCUUAGGAAGUAGAACAGAAAUAGGAUGGUAGCUUGAAAAAGUUCAAUAUAUAUAUUACACCAGCUGUUUGGAUGCUGAUGGAAAGGAUUCAAAAGAUAGGGAGAAUUUGAUGAUGACAAAGAGACUAAUUUCACAAGUGAAGUUGCUGACAGUGAGACUAUAAUCUUUAAUUAAUUAUGCAAUUGUGACCAAUUACAAAUUCAUAUUAAAUUCUAGGAAUUUGACAUUCGGUAAAAAUUUUGAUAAAAUCUAGUUAGUCAUUGCAUACCAAAUUUUCAAAGUGAUAUGGGUAAAUUGAGCUUAUUACUUCUUUCCCUCGAAGGAGCAAUUUUCCUUAAUGUCUUCUUGAUGAAAAUAUAAUUUACUGAAAAAAAAAAAAAGAAAAUGCUUCUAAAACUCUGAAGAAAGCUUAUAUAUAUGUGUGUAUAUAUAUAUAUAUAUUUUUUUUUUUUCUCUGAAAGUGUGCCAAUAGGAAUUUGGCUAUGGUGGUGGUUGUUAGGUGCUGUCUAGUUGAUUCCGACUCAUGGUGACCCCAUGUGACAUUAAAACUAUCUAAUAGGGUUUUCUCGGCUGUAAUCUUCUUUUUUGGUUGUAAUCUUUAAGAAAGCAGAUUUCCAGGUCUUUCUGCCAUGAAGUUGUGUAGUUUGAACCAACAGACUUUCAGUUAGGAGUCGAGCACUUAACCGUUUGCACCACCAGGGCCCAUAUUAAAAUUUGUGCCCUUUCCUCUCAGAAACUUAGUAGUUGAAGAAGAAUAAACAAGGAACUGAUAAAAAGAAAUAAUAUUUUCACAGCUUGUCCAGAGAAAGAAUAUCCCUUGGAAACAAAAACAUGCAAUGCAUGUUUAGAAAUGCUUUUCAUCAUGACAAGCCAGGUCUACUCUAGAUGAGUUUCAGGCAGGUAAAUGAACUUCUAAGAGACUUAACAACACUGUGGUGUCUUGUCAGAUGUAACUGUUAUAAACUACAAGUUCCUGUGGCAAAAUUAUUUGAAAAUAUCUGACCUAUUUCUGUCCUUGUUAUUAAUGUCACCAAUAAAAAAAACAGCAAUAGAAUAUAUUAAUUUUUAUUAGUGGAGAACCUUUCCAAAAUGAUAGCUUCAGAAAUCUUCCAUGUCGGUCCAAAUGUGUACUUUGCCCUGUUUGCAUGAUAAGAUACACUUCAUUUAUCACUGUCAGGGUCCAACCCAGGCAGGAGGUUGCAGUCAGUAGGGAUCUAGGUCCUUACUAUCCCUUUUUGUGUAUUCUUGCCUCAGCUCCUCAAGGUCCAGUUCCUUUCACACAGCAAUUUGGCUGUAAUUAACAAACAAACAAAAACAAAAACCCCAUAAUAACAUGGCUUAAAUGAGAAUGAAGUUUUUACACUUUCAUGUAGGUUUUUUAGGUCUGGUAUGAUCACUUAUCACAUGUGUAUGCGAAAGCUUGACAGUGAAUAAGGAAGACUGAAGUAGAAUCGAUGCCUUUAAAUUAUGGUGUUGGUGAAGAAUAUUGAAUAUACCAUGGGCUGCCAGAAGAAUGAACAAAUCCGUCUGGAAGAAGUACAGCCUCAGUGUUCCUUAGAAGCGCUCCUGAGAAGUGAGGAUGGUAAGACUUCAUCCUCACAUACUUUGGACAUGUUUUCAGGAGGGACCAGUCCCUGGAGAAGGAUAUCAUGUUUGGUAGAAGAGAGGGUCAGUGAAAAAGAGGAAGACCCUGAAUGAGAUGGAUUGACACAGUGGUUGCAACAAUGGGCUCAAGCAUAACAACAGUUGUGAAGAUGGCGCAGGACCAGGCAGUUUUUCUUUCUGUUGUACAUAGGGUCACUAUGAGUGGGAACCGCCUAAAGAGCAUCAAGCAACACCACCCCAGUGUAUAGAAAUUUUCCAAUGGCAGCAUCAUACCUUUUAAGGGAAGUCUGUCUUAGUUUAGAGUUUUUGAUAGCUUGCUGCAGUGGGUAGGCGCCUUUGUUUCAGAAAACAGGUCAUGGAAACACCAAUGGAUACAGGAAAUACUAAGGCUUUUGUACAAAGGCAGAGUUAGCUUUGCAGUGUGAUUAUACCCUGAUAGGUGGUUUAUUGGAAUAUGAAAAUUGGUCAGGUAUUUAGGAAAUAUGAAUUGUGACUUCUGUUACAGUUCAUGCAUUCAGUAAUUUUUGGAACUACUUGAGAGAGAAAAUCCAAUUCAAUGGAUCCACCCUUUUUUUUUCCUUAAUUGCAAGUCAGGUGUGACUUUUUAAAUAUUCAGUUGUAUUGUCAUGUACACUGUCUUGUACGUGAAUGUUUAGUUCAGAUGGAUGGAACAUAGUUGGAAUAAUAAGUAGUAGUAUUGGAAGGAGAUUGUAAUAUUCUGUUGCUGAACCUGUCUCCUCCUAUAAUUGUUUAGCUUUUUUUUUGAAGACGGUCGUGUCCUAUUGAGCAAGAAAGGGUAAAUGAAUUAAUGGAAAUGUUUUCUUAUUAGUGGGGGAAAAAAAAAGUUCCUGUUGGUUGGUAUGAAAUCAGGCCUUUGUAUAAAAAUGUAAUGAUAAAACUUGGUAAGAUUCUUCUGAUGUUUAUUUUUUUUUUCCCCAGACAGUUCAUCUAACCUACUUUUUUUUUUUUUUUUUAAUGUAGUUUAUGUUCUCUGCGUAUCUGGAUCGUGUAGCUUUGUAAUAGUAUUAAGAAAUGUGACUGGGCAGAUGAAUCAGAUUUGAUUUUUCAUGCCCAAGCUGCUCCCUUUUUCUUUGUGUCUAAUUAAAAUAUGCUAUGGUUUUCUUAGUGUAAUAUCUAAACAGUGAAGGACAGCUGUACUAAACAGUUGUUUUUGAGAAAGAAUUUUGGGGGUUAUUGAAAUUGACUUUAAAAUUACCUGUAUUUGCUUUCCUCUGCCACUGCCAUUAAUUUAUAAUAAAUGGCACUAUCGUUGAAAGCUCAAGUCCCUGAGUGUUGCAGAAGGUUAAGUGAUCGACUAGUAGUCAAAAGGUUGAUACAUUUGCUUCUAAAAGGCCACAGCCUUGAAAACCCUACAGAGCAUUUCUACUCUGCACACAUGAGGCCACCACGACUCAGAAUCCAUUUCAAGGCAACUAACAACAACAAUAGUUAAUGAAAGAGUUUUAAAAUUAGAUUUUGCAGUAAGCCAAAUGUAUCAAUAAUGUUAAAAGAUGUAGUGAUACAGGCUUCUACGUGUUCAUCAAAUCCCUUUUGCCCCUGACACACAGCUAGACUGCAUUUUCCCAGCCUCUCUGGCUGUUAGGCUCCGUCAUGCACCUUGGUUUCAAGAAAUGGAAUGUGGAAUGUGGAUGGAAAUGAUGUAUGCCAUUUCUGGGCUUGGCCUGUGAAACCAUUCUGCUUGACUUCUGUGUUCUGUAUCCUGACCAUGUGAUGGUUGGACACAGCAGUGUCCUUGUCAGAUGGUUGGACUCAAGAGUGAAGAAGUCUGGGUCGUUCAAUGACCGUGUGGAGCAGAAUCUCCCCUUCCCCCCCACAGACUGUGAAAAUGGAUGAGAAGUAAACCUCCAUUGUGUUAAGCUACUGAAAUCUGGACUAUUAUAGUAUUUAUCUACCCUAAUAAGAGAAUUAGACCAAAAUGCUAGAUAGUAUAUGCUUCUGUGGAAUCAGCCCUCUUGCAACCAUGGAAUCCAUCUGUGUGUUCAGCAGGAAAUGGAAAUGGAAUUUGGUGAACCCAGAGCAUCACCUCUGCCUGAGAUAGUUUUGCCAUAUUUUCUGGGCAUGCAUGUUUUAUGUGCUUAAAAUAUUCAGUGCAUCUGAUAUUAUCCAAGACAUUUCUUAUCCUUGAAAAGUGAUAGAAGUUGUAUUAAAAAAACAAACAAACCAAGCCUCUUGCUGUUGAGUCGAUUCCGACUCAUAGCGAUCCUAUACGACAGAGUAGAGCUGCCCCAUAGAGUUCGCAAGGGGCGCCUGGUGGAUUCAAACUGCCGUUCUUUUGGUUAGCAGCGGUAGCACUUAACCACAAUGCCACCAGUGUUUCCAUAAGUUGUAUGUUCACCAGGAAUGUUUGGGGCAGGCCAGCGUCAAGAAGUCAUUUCAGUUCACUCUAAAUCAUGAAUAUUUCUGUAGCAGAUAAUUAACUUUGUUAAUUGUACUGUUUUAUACCCAGCUUGAAGCCCUGGUGAUGCAGUGGUUAAAGUGCUUGGCUGCUAACCCAUAGGUCGGUGCUUUGAACCCACCAGCUGCUCUUCGGGAGAAAGAUGUGGCAGUCUGCUUCCAUAAGGAUUUAUAGCCUCGGAAACCCUACGGGGCAGUUCUGCUGUGUCCUAUAGAGUCCCUAUGAGUUGGAAUCUACUUGACAGCAAUGAGUUUUGCUUUGGUUUUAUAGCCAGCUUACUGGUAAGGUCUGUAAUGUGGCGUGGUAGCAGUCAAGAGUUAUCUGAUAACUGAUUAGAGAUAAGGGUUAUUCUUACCCAGUGGUUUCACCUGUUGAAUGCUAAAGUGUAUUCUUGUCUCCUAAGUAUGGUAAUAGCAAAUAUUGGCAGUAAGCUAAAAAUUCCUUUCUCUUCAGAAUCAACUUCGGAUGCCUUUAAUGGUUGGUGACUCUAAAACAAGACAAACAAAAUGUUAUUUAGUUCUCAAGUGCUUGUUUUAAACUUAAAUUUGGAAGUCUGAUGCUUUAAAAACUCUCCCUUCAGAGUGCUGGGGUGAAGUCCUGAUUUAGGAAGCAACAUAGAGACAUUAAAUUUCUCUGUCUUGUACUCUUGGGCAAGUGUUCAGUCGGUGUAUCCUACACUAGGAAUAGAUUGUUCUCUCUCAGUUCCCAGAUCAAAUGGUUGCCCUCUCAGGGCAACUAUUUGAUGAUUACAAUAUUCAUAUGAUUGAAUGUUUGCAUAUCAAAUGCCAAGGGGCCUUUCUUUUCUAAAAGAAGUGGUUGCUAGUUCUUGGUUGAUUCGUAUUUAACUUCUUGCAGGUAGUUUUGGUUCUGGGUCUGCACUGGUUCUGUUACUCUCUUGUCGGGUGACAUCACAGUUAGGAAACCCUUUAAAGUUCUAAGACACUAUGAUUCAUUAAAUUUAUUAUUUUUUUGGCUAUCAAUAACCUUUACCCUUGGAGUAGGUAGAUAGUAACCCUACAAACAGAGGAAGGAGUAAGCUGUUGAAGAAAGCAUUUAAAAAAAAAAAAAAAAAAAACUCAGAAAAUCAAAUGAGAAAAA